rnacentral:lncRNA from 1 species
CUCCACCGCCACCUGACACCACCAUCACCGACAGAGUCUUCAUGGACUUCAGCAUAUGCCCCUCUUACUUCCUCAACCGAAAUCUGGGCGACGAGCUCUCACUUUGCACCGACGCCGAGCCAGUGGGCCGCCUUGUCCUCGGCCUCUACGGCAAUCACGUUCCCAUAACCGUCUCAAACUUCAAAGCCAUGUGCACCGGCUCCUGCGGCUCGAGCUACAAGGGCACUUUAGUCCAAAAGAUAUUCCCGGGACAAUUCUUUCUUGCAGGGAAGCAAGGCCGGAAAGAUAAAGGGGAGGUCAAGCCGCCUCUGGAGUUGACUAGGAAUACUGAAACGGUUGAGUCCAAGGCUUUCACGUUGGAACAUACGAGGCCUGGUAUUUUGUCAUUGUGCUUGUCCGAGAACGACGAGGAGGAUGAUAUUAAGCUGGACCCCAAUUAUCACAAUGUUGAGUUUAUGAUUACUACAGGACCUGGACCUUGCCCUCAGCUUGAUUACAAGAACAUUGUAUUUGGAGCUGUGCUUGAAGGUCAGUUCUCAAUCUCUAUCUUUUAUUCUUCAAUCCAUUGGUCUGAACUUUCAAUUGUCUUGAGAUAUAAUGAUGCCUGCAUGAUCAGUACUAGUAUAAUGCUGGGAUAAAAGGAAUUUUUAGGUGUGCAUGCAUGUUCUGCUUUUGUGGAAAUUGUGGCAUGGGCUACUAACUACUUUGCAGUGCUUGUGACAUUUUGCUGUAGGCAGUGUAUAUAUUACUAGUACAGUAUAUUAUUAUUUGAAAAAAUGACUAAAUUUGAGGGAUCUAAUUUCUAAUUUUAGUUUCCAGUAUGAAAUUGUGGCAUGGGCUAUUUUAUUUAGGUGCUACUUUGUUUUGAGAUAUAUGCGAGCCUGCAUGAGUACUAUUACACUGCUCGUCCGUUAACCCCAGUGCUGUCGAAAUAUGAUAUUGAAGGGAGUGGGGAGGGAUGCUUUUGAUUAACAUCCAAUUGCUAAUAACUUGGGAAGAAGCAGAUAUGCGCUACUUCGGUUUAAACAAUGCAGUAGCAUAUGAAGUCAUAUUGCUUGAAUCCUUGUAAUCCUUAAAAAGAUACUAGGACUCCCUCCGCACUGAUGAAAUUAUCAAGACUCAUCUACGUAAUUUGUGAUCCUUCUAGAGACUAGAGUUUAUUCCUGUUCUGCAUUAGUCCCCCAUGCAAGGUAUGAGGAAAGCAAUGAAGUCUCUAUCUGUGGACUGCGGAGUUUUGAGUCAAAUACCAUGUUUAAUUGCAAGGCUUAUUUCACAUUGUAUUUGGUUUCGCGGGAUCGUGCCUUAUUGGUUAAUUUGUGUGUACUAAUGUCAAGAAUUCGGAGGUAGAAAAUGCAUAACCGUUUUCCAAUCUUUUCUGUAAUUUGGUCAGUAGUUUUGCCUAGAGUAUUCUGUAUAAAGCUAAUGCACUGAUUCUUAUCAAUUUUCCUGUUUAGUCAUAAAUAUUUGUGUUAUUUUUUCACAAAGGUUUUGUAUUAUUGGGAAGGAUUGGAAGUAAUAUGCCAUUAUGCGUUACCGUUUUCUUCCCGAAUGAACUAUUUUCUCAUGUUUUCUGCUCACUAGAAGAUUAUGCGUACUUCUUGUCUGUGGAUUGAAGAUAGUGAACGUAGUCACUUAAUGAAUUCUAUUGCUUCAGCUUAAGUGGUUGAGUUUCAUGCUAGGGUUGGAUGUGGUGACAACAAUAUCAGCAAUCCCUACAUAUAAACCAGCUGAAAGAAUCCGACAAUACAAUGAUCUUGCGCAGUUCCUUGGAGAUGAAAGAGCGAAGAUUGCUCGUGCAAUCUGGAAUAGACCCCUGAAGACCCUUUAUAUCAGUGACUGUGGAGAACUCAAUGUCACUAAGCCUACCCUUUUCCGUAGUCUUCCUUAGCACAUUGUUUAUUUGGUCUGUCUCCAUUCUUGCAUGCAGAGUACGCAUUUCUUAUUCGUUGUUAACACUCUCUGCUCAAGGAAAUUCAUUGUACAUUACAAUUCACAGAAUGAAGAAUAGAAUGUAAAUCUUGGAGACUCUUUGAGUUGGCCAUGGUUCAAAGACGAACUCGGCCGAUUCAAUCAUCAGAACGGAGCUCUCACAGUUCCGAUAUCGAGACAAGAUGACUGCAAGAUACAUGGAUCGCCGAGAAUUCGACCGAAACACCGAGAACUCGGCUGAAAAGUUUCCGACACGGCUAGAAAUAGCCGAAUCAACCCGAGUUUAGCAUAUUUUGUUUAUAUUAUUUUGUUUCUUUUGCUAAUUUUUUAUUAUUUUUGUUUAGCAUAUUAUUUUAUAUUAUUCACAAUUUUUAAAAUGUUAAAUGAUUCAAAAUUUGCACCUCGCCAAAACUGCGACUGAUAUACCGAAAUUGAUGUGGAACGAUUUAGACCACGAUCACAACCGUAACGACCGUAACCGCAACUUUGAACCAUGGAGUUGACAAGUCCAAAGAUAAGCUGCUACAUUAUCUUCUUCAUUCUGACCACCUUUUCUUUGUGGUUGCCAUUGAGUAGUGGAGGUGCUGAAGACGUCCGAGUCAAAUUUAACACCGUCCAUCUGCGUCACGUCCAUUCCUGGACUGGACUGGCGGGCCGGGUCUGCUGUUAAUGGUAGCGGACUUUGAAGCAGAGAAAUAAGUGCAUUAAAACGAAGUUUGUAGCUUCUGAAACAAAAUUGGCCCCUCAAGCGAGAAAAUAUGUGCCCGUGACAAUGUCCAACUGGUCCCGAAAACCUAACUUAUUUGGUAGGAACGUUAACCAAGGCACUGUGAGGUAGACACAGGCGACAAUUCUAGUAUUGCAGAUGCGAUUCUUUGGAAGGGUAGAACCAUUACAGUCCUAGAAUUAUUGAUUAUGACAUCUCUUAUAAGACGGUUCUUGUUUACAGUUUCAGAAACCCUGAUUGCGGUUUCCAUUUCGAUUCUACUUCUUCCCGGUUCUAGUUUUGGCUCUUUAUGGUUAUGGCUUAGAUUUCUUACAUUUACACUUGGGUACUCAUCGUUACAAAUUUUGACAUGAAAGUGAUCUGACAGUGGAUUUAGAAUCAAGAGAAUCGACGGUGAAGAAAAUACAUUCAGUUCUUGUUUGAUGUAAAUAUGCAGCCCAAUAAGCCCAACUCUGGUCUAACACAUGUGGAGUUGUGACCAUUGCCACGCGACCUUGUGAGUCUGUAGAAAAUACUAUCCGGGGGCUCCACCGACCCUCCCCCUCCAAAAAAGAAGAAGAAGAAGAUGAUGAAAGUUUGGAUGAGUAAUUGAUGAGCAGAUAAGAUUCAGAAAGUACAAGAAAGGGGACCGCUGACACAUUGCCAAACAGGGCCUUGCUAGAUAUGUCUAAAAAGGUAAAGGCCAUCGUAAUAAACGAGGACGAUCAAGAAUCGCCGAGUAUUUUUUUUUUUUAUUGCAUGCAUCAACUGGCAAUGAUGAAGGGCAGCACAGGUUUCAUGGAAAGGUUAACUGUUCUCAAAAUUAGUUUUUGGCAGUGGGAGAAUGAAGGCUUUGAUGGUGAAUGGAAAUUAUGAGAGAGGAGAUCCAAAAGGGACCACUGACAUUUAAGAGUGGUUGUGGUGAUAGCUUUUUUCAUGCUUGGGCUUUGGGAUGCCGAAGUAAACGCCGAGACGGAACUGACUACAGGGGCGACAGUCACAAGACAUUAUUGUUUGUUUCAAAUCAUGCUGCUAUAAAAACCAAAUUCGUGUGGCUGAAAGGAAAUUUCUAUGUGGAAAAAAAUAAUAAUUAAAGGGAAAGGGACCACGAAGGGCUUUGGUAGAUUCCUUCCCUUUGAACAAAAAAAAAAAAAAAAAAAAGAAGAAUGCUUCUCGAGUGCUCACCAUUUUUCUUGGAUCAUGUUUUUCUUUAAUUAGACAAAAUUUAACUUUUCCAUUCUCGAGUCAUAAUUUUCCAAAUAAAUCUCGACCGGGACUCGAACCCCACGAAUUUAGGUGCUAAGGACAUUUACGAUUCUAAGAAAAAUUUUUGGGGCAAAUGAAGAUUGCAAAUCUUAUAAAGGAAAAGAAGAGAAAGGAUGCUCGAGAAUCAAAUUAAGGAAUUCACGGCUAAUCUCCUCUUAAGGACCAUCUAAGUUAAUUUUUAAAGACGGCUAUUAAAAAUUUCGGUCUGGCUAAUGAGUGCCAUUAAGCACUCUUUGAUGCCCCAAAACGGGAAAAAAAAAAAAAAAAGAUUUGCCUUUUCCUUAUUGUUUGUGUGAAGGGGAUUGGAAUUUCUCGCUUUUCAUUUUCUUCUAUUUUCACAUGUUCCUUCACUAUGAUUAAUUGAACUAGUACGUUUUUGUUUUUACGGUAAACAUUUGUUAUCAUUUAUCAUCAGAUUAUAAUUUAUGACAGCCAAAGGGCUGGUGGUAGAAUUUUAUCCAUCCAUUUGCCCCGAAUAUUUGGACAGUGAUUAAUUUAGGCACUUUUCCACAAAAUCCAAAGGAGAAAAGCCGCCGCCACAUCCACAUUGACGACUGUUGAGCACUGGAAACUCUCUUUUCUUCCAAUUUCGAGCACCUGCACCUACUCGUCGCAUCACUUUUGGAGAAAGGGUGAAAGCAUAUUCCUUCUGGUGGUCGAUACACUAGGCCGUCACUCCCACUUCCUGAAGAUGACUGAAUUUCUCAAAAUAUAAAAUAUAACUGAAUGUGCAUGCGUACCUUUUUUUUUUUUUUUUUUUACUCAUUUGCUCUGUCCUCAGAGAGAUUUAAGCCGUCUCAUAUAAUAUAUCUUUUAUUUUUCUUGGUUUUUUGAUUAAUUUAACUCAAGAUGACAUCAAAGGGCUAAUUAUACUUUUCUGGGAGAUGGUAUGACCAUGCUUAAAUAUUAAUUUAUAAUUCCGCCAAAAAAAAAAAAAAAGAGAUUGGUUUGAACGGCUGGUUUUUUUUUUUUCCCCCGGAUGUUGUUAUGGUCCGGAUAGACCAACCUCUUCGUCGUGAUAUGAUUGCUGAAUUCUUUUAUCCCAGGAGAAAAUCUAUCAUAGUUUUCUUUUUUCUUUUUUAAGGCCACCGAUUUCGGUUCGAAAAUUGCUUGUUUUGAUUUCUUUAAAAGGUAGAACCAGAACCGAGCAUUGCAAGAAUGGUUACGGUUACGGUUCUGAAACCUUGGACUCCCAGGUUUCAUUUACGAUUUAAACUUGAACCAUGACCGUGUCUCAACAUCGUUCAUAGGUUGUAGUAGUGUUAUACUAGAAAACAUGCAAGCAUGUCAAUCAACGGGUCUUACUUAGCGAUUGUAGUAACAAAAUCACCGGUAUGAAGUGCAUAACUUCCUCCUCGCAUGGGCCCAAUUUUCCAGUCUUAUACGAUAAAUUUGGCUUGAUCUAGAACACAAAUGCUCUAUGCCCCUCAUGAACAGCUCGGUUGAUCACGGAAAUCUCUUUAGAAACCGUUGUUCAGUUCCACCAGGAUUCGAGUCCUAUGAUUAUCGUGUUUCAGGAGAUGGGGCAUCUCCUCUCGAGCCGCAGGGGGAUUAGUCGGACCGAAAGUUCAGAUACCCCGUGCGCCUGAAAAAAAAAAAGAAAAAAAGAACACAAAUGCCCUACGCCUAGAAGAUAUUUUGUUAUUGAAAAUAACUGUUCAUUAGCGCAUACGCUACACAAUAAUCUAUGAUCUGUGUAGUUCGGCCAUGCAUGGGGCAAUAUUACAUAGACAAAUGUUUCAUCGGAAGGAUUCCAUCAUCACGAUUCUUAACUAGGAAAGAUUGCCUUCCAGACAAAUUAUUAUUUUUUUUUUCUCUUUAAGUAAAAAUUAUGUCCACGUUCGAAGUUGUGCGUCACCAUCGCGCAUGAGAUUUGUCACCAAAUUAAAAUGAAAGGCAAGGGAAAAUGUAGGUUACCAAUUCAACCAAUAUAGGUGUAGAAUAAGUAGAUAAUGACGAAGUAUCAAGCAUUAUUUUUGAUCCUCUGUAACCCCACAAAAUCUCAAUCAAACAAAAAUUAAGGACACCAAGAAGAUGACAAAUUUCCAGGCUGCGCUAAUCGUUCUACAUUUUCGCGUGGAAUCGGUCAAAGUACGCCUUAAUCAGCUUACUCCUAAAGAUAUAUCUAUAUAUAAAAGCGGAACACAAAAUUGAAAGGUACUAAAACAAAUGAAUUGAACCAGACUCUCUCCAUCACUUUCCUCCCCCAACCAUUUUUCUUUGACAGUUAUAACUGUUAAUAAAAAGACCUUUUGUUCUUGCAGAUUGAGAAGUAAUUUAAUCAGUUAUGCAGAGUCUUGUCAAGAGUCCACAGCUCGCUCCGCGAAUAGAACAGAUUGCAUGAGGCGAAGGUACCGGGCAGUUUGGUGAUAAAGAAUCGAAGGAUCAAAUUGGAGGCUUUUGAAAUUCACACAGUCUUUGCUGCUGCUUAUUAUUAUUAUGUUUGGAAGCAUCUUUGAGCUGGAAUUUUAAACCAAGAAGCCGAUUCUAGAUGUAGCAUUCAAACUAAUCAUCUUGACUUGCGCGUUCGACCAAUGCUAAUAGCCUAAUAUUAGUAGUCAUUAGUUAGUAGACCAAGAACAUAGAGGGUUUCCACAGGACACUACACUACAAAUUAAAUGAAUAAACCGUCCAAAAUGAAUCGAGGAAUAAGUAAAAAUGAAGAGCAUGACAUGCAUAGAUAGCUGUUUUGGACGGUUCUAAGGGGAUAUAUAUAUAUAUAUAUAUAAAGUUCCAAUUUUAUCAAAGAAUUUUUUUUUUUUUUUUUUUGAUAAUGGGUGCCCUGCUCUAGGCCUGUUUGAUAAACAAGUUUUUGGUUAAAUUUGUCUGCUGCAAAUUUUUUAACAAUUUUAACUACAGUAACUCAAAAAAACUUCUCAAAAAUUUUAAAUUAUACACUUCAAAAUAUCCAAAAUUUUAUAUAUUUCAAAAAAAUUUUCUACAACUUUUACAGCAAGUUACAGUAAAAUUUUAAAUAAAUAUCCAAAAAAAUCCAUUUGCCAAACGAGACUUAUGCUUACCUGAAUUGACUUUUUUCUAUCCUAAAAAAAAAUCACCAUUUUGAGUGAACGAGUGAUUUCUGGAUACGUGAACCUUGCAUCAAGAGCAACAAUUAAAUUAAAAGUAAGAAGAAGCAGUUAAGUUCAUGGGCAUCCAAGAAAAAGUAUCAAGAUUAAUAAAAUGUUACCCAAAAGAGAAAAAAUGAUACGACAACCAAAUAAUAAAUGGAAGUAAAAGUAAAGAAAGCGUAAAAGAAUUGCCGUCGGGGUGACGGCAAGGCAUAUGGUACGUGGAGUGAAUAGGUGGGGGACCAAAGCAAGUCGCGACACGUGGUGAGACCGACGACGUGCAGGACCAGAACUGGGCUAACCUCAAACCCAAAGCAAUACCGAAAAAAGAAAAGCUUUGUUAGGCCCACUGACUACCACUACAUCCCUCCCUUUUAAAAAAAGAAAAUUACUUUAUUACCAUUGUGGGUGGGCUCGAGGUCGAAGAGAAUAGGCGAAAGAAAACUGAACAGCAGCAGCAGCAGGAGGUACCGACCGUUCCCCCUCCGCCAAAGUAACUUUAGCCAGCCGCCGGCGCUACCCCCACCCUUCCUUCUCAGCACACAAGACGAGACGACAGCCAAAAAGUCGUAGGCGAGUCCCCACGGCGAGGUUGUUCAGACGCGGUGGCCCACAAUUUACAGCCAGCUGGGAGGUGUGUGUGGGCCCCUGGUGGCUGGGAGUUUUCUGGGGGAGGGGGGUGUCUUGGCUGACUUGGCUGUCCCUGCUGAAAACGAAUUAAUUGUCAUGGCGCGUGAUUCAACGUGGUCCCUACUACGUGGAGAUGAUGGGAGUGCCGUGGUCCAUGAAAGGAGAGGGCGACUCGUGGAGAAAGGGUACGGAGUUGAUGUCACUGUCAAGGUUGCUAACGUCUGGCGGAAAGAGAGGAGAGCAGAGCCCAGCACUACGGCAGAAUAGAACAAUGGCCAGCGCCAGCGGGCACCGCCCCACCCUUCCCCGGGCCCCCAUUACUCUUGUUCUUGUACGUUCCCUCGCUCUCCUGUGCCGUAUUCCAGUCUCCUCAGUAUUAUCGCUGUUUCCCGCCUCUGUCCCUCUCAUCUUCCUAGGUUCUUCUACUUUUUCAUCCACUACUACACUCAGCAAUUUAUUUACCAACCAAUUCCUUUUACUGAAAAAAAGAAAAUAAAAUUUUUCAUUUUUAAUGAAUUCAGGAAAUUGGAACAUCAGCUGAACCCGUGCUUUUUCACCUUUUCUUUUUUUGGUCCUUUUCCUACGAGGACAAAGUGAAAUUAAAUCGAAACAGUAUCUAAACAAAAUGGAAAAAAAAUGAAUGAAUGCGACUAUGUGUGUUUAAAUAGUAGUAAUUUUAAUAUAAAUCACAUGUACCAAAAACGACUCGAAUCGAGUCGAGUUUUAAAUUUACUGCACCUAACUCGACUUGUUUUUUGUGUGGGCUCAAGUUAAGUUUCAAGAUCAACGAGUCAAGAAAUUGGAGUUUGAGUUAAUCAAGGAAAAUGCAGCUUUAAACUUGAGUUGACAAGGCUUGCGAAUAGGCCUGCAAACGAAUCGAGUCACUCGCGAGCUCGAGUAUAUAUAUAUAAUAUUUUUUAUUUUUUUAUUUUAAGUAUAUAUUUUUUUUAUUUUAAGUAUAUAUAUAUUUUUUAUUUUAAUAGUAAAAUUACAUAUAUAUUCUUAAUAUUUUAUUAUUUAUUAAGAAAAAUAUUAUUUUAUUUAUUUUUUAAAAAAUAAAAUUAUUUUAUUUUAUUUUUCAAACUCGAGUUCGAGUUUAAUAAAAUUUAGUCGAGACUCGGCUUGAUUAGCUCAAAACUCGACUCGACUAGCCUCGUUUGCAGUCCUGCUCGCGAACUAAAAGUGGAUUUCUAACUCUUGAACAGCUUGAAUUACACGUAAUUUUCUGGAUCGAGAGCAGUUCAAAGUCAGCCCCAAUUUGUAUUUAGAAAAUAGGAAUUAUUGUAAAUGAUAAAUAAUAAAGGGGCAAUUAUAUAAUUUCAUAUGAACUCAAACUGAUCGAGCCAUUCAUCGAAUUAUCGAGCCUACGAAAGUAUCACUCAAACUCAACUCGCGUAUAACAACAACAAUUUGCUCCAGUUCGACUCAAACUCAACGAUGAUUGAGCUUGAAUCGAAUUCUAACAUGAUUUGCUCGACUUAUGUGCAGCCUACUUCAAACACUGCAUACACGUAGAAAUAUUUGGGGCAGGAGUGGAAAUGGUUGUACGGAAGAAUCGUUUGAUUCCUAAACAAUGCAACUACUUGUGCAAUAGAUUACAGUGUUCAGGAACCACUACAUUGACAAUACAACCAUUGCUGUCCAUUUCUUGAAAUGUUUGACCCUUAUGUUCUUAACAUUAAUAUAUUGCUAAAAUAACAAGAUAUGAAUGUGCUAGCAAAUCUUACCUUUGAAUUCGGUUUUACAUAAUUUAUGUGCAUAACAAUCGAGCUUCCUUAAACCAAAAAUUGCAGCCGUGCAAUUAAUUCACAUAAAAGAUAUUAUUGGUGUUUCAAGUUACAACAACGCUAGUACUCAGUGUGUUUGGGUGGUAGAUUGUGCAGAAUAUUAUUUAAAAUAACAAUUAUAUUAUUUUUGUGUUCUGAUGUAUACGAAAUAAAAGGUGAUUAAAAAGAUAAAAAUAUAUAUUAAAAGAUAUAUUUAUAAUGCAAGUAAAUAAUAUUCUGGUAUAUAAGUGCUAUUGAAACAGGCUCAUUAUGGGUUGUUAUUUAUGGAUUGACUAUUAGUUUUAGCUACAAUCAAUGAUCAUCUAUAUUUGGUGUGGAUAAUAAACAUACAAUCACAACCUCUUUUCUUCUUCUCUUUGGACGGUGUAUUAUUUGUAUAAAUUUAUUUGCUUGCAUCAUACUCACUUUUUCAGCUAUUUUAUUUCAUAUACAUUAUAUUUUAAAAAAUGCUACAAAUUUUUUUUUUCAAAUAAUCUCCUAUUCAGACAUGCCUACAUCAUGUUAAAAAAUCAAUUUUGAUAUCAACUUCAAGAUCCACCUAUAAAUGCAACUUUUUCCAUAUUAACUUGUUUAAUUAGUUUUGUUUGGAUAGUGGUUUAUUUGCAACUUUUUAUUUGCUUGCAUAUCAAUAUAUUUUUCUGAUCAUUUUUUUUAUUUUGCAUAUAUUACAUCAAAAAAGCGUCACAAUAUUUUUUAAAAAAAUUAUUUGAAAUAAUCUACUAUCAAAAUUUUAUACAGUAGAUUAUUUUUAAUCAUAUUUUUGUAUAUUAAACUAUUAUUAUUGUUUUACAUGUAUCGUAUUAUAAAAUAUACAACAGUGGUGUCAUUUGAAAUAAUUUAUUCAAAUAAUCUCGGAACCAAACGUACAAACACCACCAAAUCUCGCGCGAGAGACAAGGAUCCAAAAAAUUAGAGACAAAAGAAAAUUACAAAUGUCAAAGCGCAAAGGCGGGACACCUUCAUGCAUGUCACGCGUACAUUCUCCCACCCUCAUCAAUGAUCAAUUUUUGUCUCAUUCUUCUUGCAUCUCCGAAACCAUCGAAAAGAAACACGGAAAUGUCGACCCCAGCCCCGCACCAAACAACCAUUUAAAUAAAGCUAUCGGGAAAUUACCACAAACCCCACGUGGCGUUAUUCCGCCCUCCUUCUCAACAAUCCCCGCUCGUUAACUCCAAAGUCCUACCCGUGUCCCUCGCCAGUAAUUGAUGUCACAAAUUAAUAAUUGUGUGAAUAUGGAAGACCUUCCCUGUAUAAUCUUUGUCCCCCCAAAACCAAAAGCCCCCAACUUUUAUCUUAAUUUCCAAAGACAACGGAAAGAGCGACCAUUCAAAAAAAAAAAAGAGGAAGGAGCUCAAGGAUAGGAAUGCAAUUACAGAAUGUUUUACAAAAAUUACUAAUUCUUUGAGCAAAUUUAGAUACCAAUAAAUAAAAAUUUUAAGAAUCAUUAAUAACAACACAUUAUGAUUGAAAGACAAAUCAAACUAAUUAAUACUCUAAUAGGUCGAAGUUUGUCAAGAGUUCGUUCGAAUUUGAUUCGUAAAUUAAUUAAACUAAACAUGAAAAACAUGUUAGUCGCAUUUGAAAUAUUUUGAAACUCAACUUGAUUGAGAUAAAAUUUGAUAUUUCUACGUAAAAACUCGAGUCAAACUAGAAUUUGGUACUCGAUUUUGACAAAUUGAUGGAACACAAUUUCGAACUCGUUUAAAUAACCACACACAAACAUGAAUGCGAGGAAGUUUGAUAUGAUUAUAUUCAUUUACUCCCUAUAAGAAGACCUGCACAUAAAUUUUGAACCGAAAAACAUGCAUAAAACUGGUAACAAAAUUCACCACAGUAGACCAAGUGACAAAAAAUUUGUUGUUUGGCAUUUGAUCAUAACAGAAUGACGAGACCAUCAAUCAUUCUAAUGAUAUUUUACUAGAUUUGACUUGUAGUUUUUUGGAUCCAACGAUGCAGGCAAAGAACCUUCACAAUUACAAAAUUGAUUAUCGUAAAAAAAUACUAGUAUAACAAUCGUAUGACAAUAAUGUCUAACUAGCCACACAAAUCACGUCAAAAAAUUACGUUUUUCCAUAUAAAUAGAGAAAUACUAAACCCUCCCUAAUAAUUACUAAUAUUUCGGAGAGCAUAAUACUUCAUGAAACUUUCUCUUUUUUUUUUUUUUCUUUCUGAUAAAUUAAUCAUAUAUAUACUGACAAUACAUAUAUCAGCAUAUUUGGAUUCACAUCAUCCACUUAGUUUUAAUUUGAACUUAAACUGCAUUUAUUCACAUCUUCGGAUUUAUUCUACUCAAUUUCAAUUUGAAUUUAAACUUCAUUUUUUUUUACACGUAACAUGCAACUAAAUGUGUUUGUAUAUAAGAAACUACUAACCCUUUUUUUUUUUGUAAUUGCUGCAAUAUGAAUAAAUUUCCGGGAAAGUACUGCCAAAGUCUUUCUCUUUUGUAAGAAAGCUGUCUUAAUCCCUACGUUCACGUCUAAGCUAAAGUAUUGCGUUGCGAUAAAUAGUAGAAAACAUGAUGAAUACAUGUAUAUGUAUAGGCCCCCCCCCCCCCCCCCCUCCUCCACCCCAUCCCAUCCAUUAACAGUGUGUGAAUGUAUAUAACCAGGGGAGGGAGGAGGUGCUGGAGAGGUGAAAAGGAAAAAGAAACUACUACAACUACAAACUCCUGUACUACCUAUUUCUACGACUGCCAUAAUAGCAGCAGCAAAUAAAAAAAGUACUUCAGUAAUUAAAAUAGAGGAAGCAACGAGCAGGAGCAGGUAGCUGAGGGGAAUUGGACUCUGAAGAAAGAAAAAAGAAGAAAGAGUAAUAAUUGUAAUGUACAAAUGGCGUACGAGGACCACCACCUCUCCCAUUCUUCUCAAGAAGAAAUGGCUCUCCACCACUUCCACCACUUUACAACUAGUACCACCACAACCGACCCCCACCACCACCAUCACCAUCACCAUCCCACCGCCUCCUCCGUCCUACGCUCUUCCAUCCACUCCCCUCCCGACACCCCUACCUCCGCCGCUGUAGCCGGCAACCCUCCUCCUCCCCCUUCCUGGCUCCUCAACUCCUCGAUUCUCAGGGGGCCGCACCAUCACCCCUCGCAGCAACAGCCCGACGCUGCCGCCACCAGUAAUUUCCUCCACCAGCUUCAGGCCUCCAACGACGACGUCUCUCACCUCGACCACAGCCCCACGGCCGCCAUGAGCAUGGUACACAAGCGGCUCAAGGAUAAUCACGCUAACAAUAACAACGGCAGCGAUCAUCAAGCCCCGGCAGUAAUGGUGAAUGAUGAGUGGGAGAAGGACAAGUGUAAGGCCGAGAUAUUGAACCAUCCCUUGUAUGAUCAGUUGCUUUCCGCCCACGUGUCGUGCUUGAGGAUCGCUACCCCGGUCGACCAGCUCCCCAGGAUCGACGCUCAGCUCGCUCAGUCCCAGCACGUCGUCGCUAAGUACUCGUCGGUGCUCCGGGGUCACGAUCCUCACCAACAGGCUCUUGAUGAUAAAGACCUCGAUCACUUCAUGGUACACUCCAUGCUCCAUUCCUCCUUCCCCCCUUUCUUCUUCGUUGACCCAUGUCUCUUCUAUGUGGACACUGGACUGUCUAAAUUUAAACAUAACUUUUCUGUUUUGGAUUAAGAUUUCAAAUAACUCUCGGUAUUCUUGCCAAGUUAUUCUUCAAGAAUUUGAAUUUCAUUAAAGUUCGAAAAAGAGAUUUUUUCUUCCCUUAAGCCCGCCCUCCUCCUCCUUCUGCUCGGCCGGGGCAGAGGGGUGAUUAAAGGCCUAAUUUUCUUUUUCCAUUAUGUUAUUCGAGUUGUUAUAGGUUGCAGAUGUUGUGUGAUUGAUCAUCAUAACUUGAGUUUUUGGUUGCAUGCAUCUGAUUAGGUGAGAGAAACAGAUUUACUACGCACACAUAAUUUUGUUAAUUUGUGAUCCUAAUGAUUAGAACUAACUGGUAAAAUUUUGAUCUUUGGUAGAACUUUUUCCUUCUGAAUUUAGUUUUUAGUCUUCUGUUGAAUUGUAGCACGGUUGUGGUCUGGAAAACAGGCAUAAUUGAAUGAUUGGAAGCUCCUAAUUUCUGGAGAUUUACUAGUAUGUUGGUUUUUAAAGAGUUGAGAUUGUCGUCCGUCCAUUGAUUGUUAUAACGAGCGCCUUCGUAUUUAGUGAGCUUAGUAAUGGACUAACUAUCUAGGUAGUAUUACCUUUUCAUUUAGGAUAACACGAGUAGGAGAAUUGGAAUUUCUGUAUCGUGGAGUCUUUCAGAUUCAGGUGAAAAACUUGUAAAGUUUUCAUUUUUUAUUGGGUUCCUCUGUAUUGGUUCUAGUCCUAGUAUUAGUAUGUAUAAUGUUGCAUAAUUAUCUUCUUAUGUCCGCAAUUCUGUUUGUGACUGCUCAGCAUGUGGGCCGUUUCCUUUUCUUUCUUGCUUUCUAUCAUUUUCUGUUGAUUUUUUUUUUUGGGUGGGGGGGGGGGGGGGGGGGGGAGAGGCCUAAUAAGUGUGUGGGAGAACAAAUUCUGGGUAAGGUUGAAGUUACUUAUGAUGGUUAUGGUUUAUGCUAUGAAAGAUAUUCAUGGGAGUAAAAGAUUGUCGUCGGAAUAUUACUGGUUUUAGUUGUGACACCAAUUGGAAUAUCUAAGUGUCGCAUCAAAAGAGGAAUCACGUUGUUCUCAGUACAACAAUAAUUGAAGCUUCAUUUUGGCUGUGUUAUGGGAAUCUCUUUGUUGAUGUAAUUUGUCUAAUAUGUUCCUGUCUUGCAUUUAUUGUAUUGUGCAAGUUGUUUUAAAUCGUUUGAAAUCUGAAAAUGGACAGCACGAAAUAUCUACAAGGAGAACUAUCAUAUGGAAAGCAUUUCCGUCACAAAAUUUAACAGAUGGAUAGAUUCAAGUAUGAAAUUCAUUCUAGAUUACUGAAUUUCUCCUAUGAUGUAAAUGCCUUACUUCCAGAUGGAAUCAUGUUUAUAAAGACCAAACUACCCAAAAAGUGUAAAUGUAAAUAAUCUGUAAAUAUCUCUGUUUUGUUUGAUAAUGUGAAAAGUCUAAGAAUAAUUUGUGACGUUUUCCAAUGAUAACCAACAAGAACGUAGCGCAAAGAUGAAUGACCAGAAUAUGCAAAUUAAGCUGCUAAUUUAAAUUUAGAAAUCUCCUGGUUUUAUCUGCUUUCUUUAUCUUCUUCUUUCUGCUCCACCACCUAUAUCAUUUCAUACAUUGAUGUUCUGCCAUACCCCACUAUUAUUUGGUGUUUUAUGUUUCCAGGAAUCAAUUUAUGGUUUUCACAUAUCCUCUGGCCUUGGGUAUCUACUUUAUGUUUUAAUUCAUGUCUGAUUUGUUCUUUAUGAACCUUCACGUUCUUUUUUUUUUUCGUUUUCUUUGAUUUCUUCUGAUGUAGACACAUUAUGUUCUGUUGCUCUCUUCCUUCAAAGAACAACUGCAACAACAUGUCCGUGUUCAUGCAAUGGAAGCAGUCAUGGCUUGUUGGGAGCUUGAGCAAUCUUUGCAAAGCUUAACAGGUAUGAUUUAUUUAAGGUUCUUUUCCUCAUUGUUUACCUGUAAUCGUUGACUCAUCCCAAUAUGAGGUUUUACCAAAAGACGCUUUAUCAGUUUUCAACUAUGUGUGAGGUUUGCCUUUAAACUUCAUUCUGUGAUCCUUCCUACUGUAAUUUUUGCACUGGAAACAAUCUUAUAUUCACCAGAUCCUGUAUGCCAUAAAUUAUGAUGCAAAGUAGCAAAUGGCAUCUACCUGCAUUUCCACCAAUUUUCCAUUUUGAAAGUUGGGUGAGGAGGGCAAUACCUCAUACCCUUCAAAAUGAAUCUUGCGACUUAGAACUAGCAAAUCCAGAUAUUAUUAGUUCGGUCCUCAAGCUAUGCCAAUCUAGUUAGCGAACUCUCUGGUUUUUGGAUCAUUUAUAUUGCCCAAUUAUGCUAUGUUCUUCUUGAUGUUCCUUCAUUCUAUGUUCUGUGUUGAGAACAUCAGAAAAGCUGCUUUUGAUUCUUUACUGGGUGGUCUUGACAUAAAACAUGCAAUGCAUAGGGGUGGCGCCCAGUGAAGGUACGGGAGCUACUAUGUCUGAUGAUGAUGAUGAUCAGGCAGAUAGCGACACAAAUUUGUUUGAGGGAAGUUUAGAUGGCCAAGACAGCAUGGGAUUUGGUCCUCUUACGCCUACUGAAAGUGAAAGGUCUCUGAUGGAGCGAGUUAGACAAGAACUGAAACAUGAACUCAAACAGGUGAAAUGGUGGAGCACAUUGAUUUGCCAUUGUCAUACUUUAGCUUUACCUAGUUGGCUGCCACCAAACAAUUAUUUGCUUCACAGGGAUACAAGGAGAAGAUCGUGGACAUCAGAGAAGAAAUUUUACGUAAAAGAAGGGCGGGAAAGCUGCCUGGUGACACCACAUCCCUCUUAAAAUCUUGGUGGCAAUCGCAUUCCAAAUGGCCUUAUCCAACAGUAUGGAUUGCAAAACCUCUCCUGGCUAUGAAUUUGAAAACCAUGGUCUAUUGGGCAAUGCUCUGAGACUUUAUAAUAUUCUUGUAGGAGGAAGACAAAGCCAGGCUAGUGCAGGAAACUGGGUUGCAACUAAAGCAGAUAAAUAAUUGGUUCAUCAACCAAAGGAAAAGGAAUUGGCAUAGCAACCCUUCUUCAUCCUCUUCUCAAAAGAGCAAGCGCAAGAGGUACACGGAUUGACUUUCAUCCUUUUACAUAGUUCAUGCUUCUUAGGUCGCCUUGUCAAGCUUGUAUCUGGAAAAGUAGUGCAGGUGAAAAAUCCAGCAACGAGCAAUUUAUGUGAACCAAGGAAUUCGUAUUGAAGAAAAAAAUGUUGCAUCUUUUCGCCCUAGCAGGUUGAUCAACUAAAUUGCUCCAGCAGAUAGCCAGCUUUGAAUUGAAGAGCUGAUCCAAUUGACCAUAUGUCUGAAGCUGUUCAGGAUUAUACAAGCAUAGCAAGCUGAUAGAACUCAGUAGUGAUCGACGACGUGAAAUAUGAGAUAGGAAUACAGGUACCAGGGCACAUGCUCUCUGUUGUAGCAUUUAUCUUUUUGGAGGUUGCGUAGGUGAACGUUGUGUCUCUUGUAGACGUACAGUUUCAAUUCAGAUCAGUUUUGUUUUCUUUGUACCACGUAGUGGUGGCACUGUGAUUUUGCUCCAGUUCUUGAUGGUUGUGAAUAGAAAAUUGCGGGAGGUUUCGUGUAGAUUAUAAGUCAGCUGGCACAAAAAGGCGCUUGUACGAAAUAAUCUGACUUUUUACCACCGGAGUCUUGAGCUUGUUCAAGAUCAUGCUAUGAAUUGUUCAUGAAUUAGAUGCACGGCCGGGGGACAUAAUCAGGAAACGACCGGAAUGGUUAAACCCCCAAAGGUUUUUGCGCUGAAUUUCAUCGUUUCAGUUAAAUCCGCUGCGGUCUGGAUGGUUUUGCAUGCUAACUGCUAGAAGCCCGGAAUCUCACGGUUGCCAUCUGAUGUGCAUGUCUAUCGCAAUUCUUGACUGUGAUUAGCCUGCCGUGGAGGAGGACGGAGGACUUCGUAGAAUACUAGUGGUUUUGGAUUGAAUUUUUUACGUAACAUGUUAGGCAACUGCGAUCCCAAACAAGACCAGGAGUUAAAACAUCUCGUCCUGAGUGAUAAGGACUUCUUCUCAAGAGGAAGGCAGCUGCAAAAAAGUUGUCAGUAUUAAACAGAGAGUAUGAGAACGUUUAACUGUGGAUGAUGGAGUCUCUGCCGGGAGAAUUCUACUAUUUCACAAGACGCUGGUCACUCAAAAAGCUAGUAACCUUUACAGCGUGCGCAAAUCAAUCAAAUCUGACGAGAAGUCCCCAGUUUGAGGGACUGACUAAGCAAAGCUUGUUUUGUACUAGUUGCUUCGAUACUACUGUUCUCGCUUCCAAAUAAAUUAUUUAUCUGUCUUCAUGAAUCAUGAGUAAUAAAAUAAUACUACUACUACUAAAACCUGAGACAAGAUUUUGAUAGCGGGAUAUGUCCUUUUUUGUUCAUGGCUGAUUGGAUAACCUACUUAUGCCUUUCUUUGUCACCACGUUCCCCACCAGGGCCAAGCUUCCUUGAUGAUGAUGCGUCCUGUGGCAUGCAUAUGCCGCCAAGACUAUAUUAUAUAAUGGUUGCUUGUCAAUAAUGUCUUCUUCUUCUUCUUUUAUAUGUAUAUAUAUAUAUAUAUAUUAUUUUUUGGGGCAGGGGCCGUCGACUUCUACUUUCUUGCCGUGUAAAAAUAAAUACAAAAUGGGUUUAGUGGGCGCCGGCCGUGGAUUUGGUCAAACAAUUUAUUAGCUGGAGACAACUGGAGGGUGAGACCUUGGACCGGUCCAAACAAGGCGGCUGCAUAUGUUAUUAUGUCUGGUCUGGGCCCAGGAGCGCUAAAAUCGACUCGGACAAUAAAACGUGAGGAUCUCUAACAUUCCAAGACAGGCACCAGGAAUCUUUUACUAUUCGCGAUGCCCCAUUCCAUUCCAAGCUGCAAUCACUCCUUGCAUCACCAUUAUCAUCUGAUAAAAAUUUGAAGAAAACACAAGUUGUAGAUACCUUUGCUGGAAUGGAAGGGACGGAAAAAGGAAAGGAUACGUGAAUUGAAGGGAACUCUUAUCAAUCAAUCAAUAAUGAGUUAACAGAAAACCAGCAACCACUAAAUAACCAACGAUCACAAAAGAGAAGAAGCUGCAUUUCUGUAAGACAGUAAUAUAAUAAUUAAAUACAAUAAUAUUUCACACGGACAUUUGAUGAUGAUCAUCAAGAACUCGCAGACGUUCUCUGUUGAUUGCUAGAUAAAGGAGCAGAAAAUCUUGAUGAAAAACUGACGAACAAAUCAUCCUCCUCCUCCUCCUCUUCGCCAUCAUCAAAGUUGAGUGCAUAGCUGUUUGGGGUGUACAUGGAUCGAGUCGUAGAUUUCUUGGGCUUGACGUACUUUCCGAUCUUCCUGACAAGGUUCUUCCACUUAGGUCCCGCCACAACCUCUGAAUAUUCCUUCAUGUUCUUCAGCUUGUCCACGAACCAGGAUUCCUCAUGGCCGCUAUUCUCUCGCAGCAAAUAUUUGCUCUCUUGAUUGCUUCUUUUCCAACCUCCAAAUCCAAAGCAGCAGCAGCAGCAGCAUCCACUUGGGGAAGCUACCUCCUCCUCCUCCCGGUCAUGAUGCAGGCCUUCUUGUUCAUGCUCUCUUAUCGCUGAAUAUGAGCUAGUAAAGGCCUGUUUCUGCUCAGCUCUGGCCAUAUAUAAAACUCUAGCUACUCUUCUUCUUCUUCUUUUUUUUUUGGCUUCCUGUCCCUGUGAUUGAGAAUUUGAUCACAACGAAACUAGUUUGUAGCUGAUAUCCGACGGUCGGGUGAGAGGAGGAGGAGGAGGACCUGAGAAUAUAUACGUUUUAAGUUUUGCAUGUGGUUCGUAGUUGUGGCCGUGUCAUGCGUGUGAUUUUUGCGUUAGCUAAGGGCCGGCAAAUAAAUAUCCAUCUCUAACUUGCCUUUUGGAAAUUUAAUUUCAAUGGCACUACGAGGAAGUAACCGCGCCAGGGAAGAGAACUUCAGAAAUGGAACUAAAUGAAUUGAGAAGCGGGCGUUGACUAGUAAAUGCGACUCUUCUACGAGAUAGGGACACAACAAUCAUACAAUAGUCAAUAGUCAAUAAAUGUAUUUAUUUAUUUUAAGAAUGUAAGCGCGCACAAGUAAACUGGCUCAUUAUUAUAUAUAAAAAAAAAAAAAGUAAUGAUAGUUGUGUUUAAUGAAUACAUAUCAUUAACUAGAGUUUAAUGAUAGUUGUGUUUUUUUUUUUUUUUUUAUAAUCCACAGGAAUUUGCAGCAUCCGUUGUACGAUCUGUGAUUAAUUCUGUUCGAUCCGCAUCGAGUGUCUUGCAGGGAAAGCUUUCUCAACAUUAUUAUCUCUUCCAUUUCCAUGAAUUUUGAACCUGAAAUUUCAAGAUUAAGGGAUGCAAGUGCCUUUUGCUUGCACCAGCAUCCAUCCGGUGGUAAAGUUUAAUGAUAGUUGUUGUAUCGUUUUGGAUACAUUCCAUGUACAGUAGCAAUUCUCAAAUACUCUGUUGCUUAACUGAUCAUAUUUGAACGGAGUUAAUUAAUCCCAGAUUAGAAGUCUUUGUAUAUUUCCUUCAUUUACAUUCGUGGCGUGAUCCCUCAUCCAUAAUAAUUCCAAUAUAUAUACAUACCACUGGCGGAGGCCGGCCCAUUACCCAAUUUAUCUUCCAAGCGAAGAUAUAUACGUAUAAUUUUAGUACAGGCUGCUGCCACCUGCUUUUGCGAUGCGCGGGAGGAUAUGUAUUCAUAUUUUGAUUUUCAUUUGACAAGUCCCACGUCUUAUCCGACACCAAAAAAAAAAAAACAAAAAUUAACUUUUAAAUAAAUAAAAUCUUACACGUCUUAGGGUGGGUGCAUUUGAUAAAAAUCUGAAGUUUUUUUUUUUUAAAUUAAAGUCUGAAAUUUAAAAUUAUUAAAUUCUCAAGUAAUAAGGCCCUGUUUGAUAUGACUGCGACGCAUUAAAAAUUAACACGAAAAUUGCAAGAAGAAGAGAGAAAAUCUUAGCUGCUGCUGUGCUGAGAUAACACGUCCGUAUGCAUCACGCUAAAAAGUGUUUGAACAUGUAAAUGAAUGUUUACAAAUCAACAGGUCUGUUCCCUUGCCUGGAUCCUUCUCAUGUGAUUACUUCGAAUAUGACUGGAAAGACCAUUGGCAUUCAUUCCUUGCCUCCACAAUAUUUCAGUUUUGUGUUAAAUUUAGCCCUAAAAAUUAGCCUUCAAAUAUCCGAAUACGUUUCUUGUUUUCUCUCAUACCGUAGGUCAAAUCAACCUGAUCUUCUACAUCAGAGGGAACAUAUUUCAAUUAGUGGAUGCUAAUUAAGGCGUUCAAUGCUCAGAGAAUUUGGUUGGUAAAAUAUUAAUAAUUCAGAUGAGCUUAGCAACAAAUUUUGGAGGACUUUACAGAACGCAUCUUUUUUUUUUGGCUCAAGAGAGACUCUACAUUUGGGUUUAGAAACCUGAGAAAUCACUUGAGAGAGAGAGAGGGAAGUCAAAAAGAAAGAAAAAAUUGUUUCCUCAAGAAAAGAAAAAAAUAAAAUUAUCUUGUCAUCAUUACUUAUUAGUUUAAUCAAGUGGAGAUUAAAAAUUGAAAGCUACCUGCUGCCCUUUGAAAAAAAAGGAGAAAAAAAAAAAGGCCUACCAGCAAAACCUUACUUGACGUCAACGCAUGCGGACGAGUGUGGAAUUAGGAUUGACUUAAAUUAUGUGGCUGAAUGUUGAAACAUCCAUUAAAAGACAUCAUCAAUUUCUGGGUUUAGUCAUGGAAGGAGGCUGUAUCCUGCAACUAGAAUUUGCUAGCUAGCAGGUAACAGGUUCCUUUCGCAUGAAUAAUCAACUUUGAACGAAACCAUGGACAACUUUUUGCCUUAGCUUAGCAGGCAACAGGACCAGUCUUUACAUCAACAUCUACUAGUAAUGCACAAGAAUCAUGGCUUUCUCAGAUUAGCAGGGGUCUCUGGUAUGAAAUAUAUAUUGUUGUUUGCUUGCUCAAUGUAAGUUUUGUUUUUAAAAUUAAAAACAAAAAAAAAAAUUUCUAGCAGAUGAGGGUAGAAUUUAAGAAGCUGUGAGGAGAAACGGGGAUUUGAAAAUCCUGACAAGAAGUCUCAAAAGUGCCAAGUAUCGCAGUUUACUACCACAGUCUUGUGGCAGAUUUGCAAUGUGACAUAAUUGCCACUGAUCUUGUAGUAUUCCUGGUCACUUAAAGCAACUUAUUUCGUAGACUUGGUUCUGUACAUAUAAUCCUCCAUAACGCAGCUGUUGCAACUCCGAAAAUUCUUGGAAUCCGAAGAGCAGCACAGCCUUCUCCAAUAAUAAUCUGAGACCCAACACUUCGACCUGUGGGCUGCAAUUGAAGGAAAACAAGAAAGCUGUCAUGGCAAAUCUAAUAAUAAAAUCUCAGAACAAAAGGACCGUAUGUCCACUAAUAAUAAUGGCGAUUAUACGCAACCCACAUUGAAUUUCGACAAAUGUUCAUGCUACGUACUCAAAACAGCAGUUACAUGAUAUGACAGCAAAGGUUUCACCUAGUUAUUAUGUCCGUCCUAACCCUUGUUCAACAACAGCAGCGAACUGCAUCUAUACAUUUGAAAGCCACGUUUCAAACAUCUGGAGUGAUGUACAAAGCAAGACAUGCCAGACUAGAUGUGCUGAAGGCUAUUAUUCCCCAAAUGAAGGGCAUAAAAAAGUAAAAUGCAAAUUUUAUUCCCACCACCUUCCGCACUAGCAAUCAUAAGGUCCACAAUCCAUGCAUGAUAUUCGGCUGAAGUUGUACGGUAGUUGCCAUUAACACUCUACAUAUUGCCAGAAAAGAACACCAAGGAUAUAUAUAUACCAAUUGGGCCCGGAAUUUCCUGAUCCUUUCUUACUAACCUAUAAAAAAGAAAUGCAUAUCAAAGUUGAAAGUAACCUAAUUUUGUAGCAAAGACGACAUUUUGAGAAGGCAAAAGACAAAAAAGAAAGUUCAGUAAGUACAUUGCCUGGACGAAUGUGGAGGAUACUUCGCCUGGGAUUGAUUCCACAUUAGAUGCAGAUGGCCUAUUUAGGAUGGGCCUGGAAAACAAGUUGCAAGCUUUUAUUUCAAUUGGAUUAUGGAGCACCGCAAUGGUUUGCAUUGCUGAUGAGUGAUAAGCCCACUAUCUAAGUUCGGCUGCCAAGAAGCAUGUGGAUUGCGGAAUUUGUAAUUGCAUUUACUCCAGUUACGUACCUUUGCAUGAACAAUUUCAGAUUGAAUAUUGUUCUCACGGGAAUCGUGGUCCGCGUAAUACCUCAGUGAAAAUGCGUUCUAGUAUUAUAAUUUUCACCUCAAAAAAUAAAUAAAAUUAUAAUUAUUCAGAGUAUAACUUUGAGACCGAAAAAACAAAAAAAACAAAAAAAUAUUUGAACAAUACGUUCACGAAAAAUGUAAAAAGUUUUGCGACAAAAAUCACAAUCCAGUAAACAAUUCACCUUUACGUGACGAGCACAACUGGGUGAAGUUCUUUAGUAAUGAUGAUUGCACUUUAAUUAUUAAACUCAGACUCUUCAGCUGGCAAUCAUGGAAGAACACAAUUAGCCACUCGUAAUAAUAAGUACUCAAAAGAGUUGUGCGUAUGGAACAAUCAAAAUUGGUAUGGUGAAAGUCCAUCACCAGCGGCAACAUCCCAUAACAUCGAAAUAUAAAUGGUGUUGUGCUGGAGGGACAAUAAUUAUAACAAUGCCAUUUUACAGCGGGGAAGUUACAUUGGAGGCCGAGAAAGGCAAAAUCCCCUCUUUUUAACUUUCGCAUAAUCUAUUGAAUAACAGAACUCAGAACCGCAAUUUCAAGUGGAGAUAUUGGUGUGUGUAUGUCUUAAAUUCUGUCACAAUUAAUUGUUUGCUUUGAAAUCUAAUUCUACUAUUCUCACUGUUUGUUUUAGGUGGAUGAGAUGAAUUGCUUGAGAGUUACAGACGCAGAAAUGAGCGCAUUGACCGGCAGGUAGGAGCUAGGGAUCGAUGAAGAAGAGCAGAAGCUGAGCAAGGGAUCGCGCUCUUAGCUACUCGGUGGAAAGGGACGGACAUCUUAGCUGCUGGUAUUAUGUGAAUGAGGGGGCCAUCUGGUGUCGGUCCCUGCACUCUUUUCCGCUGCCGAUGACAACACCACAAAAACGACGGGACGCACACACCACACGCACUGAACCCACACGGCCAUCGUCGAUAGGCUCGAAUAUGCUUAUUCACAUCGUACUCAAGCCAUUAAAUGGUUCUUCAUCAGAUGGGUGUGUUAUGCCCAAUGAUGGAGCCAAGGGGGUAGAGGGGGUCAUGUUUUGAGAAUUUGAAUUCAUAAUAUGUAAAUAUGUGUGUAAAAUAAAAUUAGCCUCCCAAAAUUUUUACAAUUUUAGUUUAUAUUAUGAAAGUUGAUAUAUAUAUACAUAUGAAUUAGUCAUCUUUGAAUGGAAUGGCUUGCAAGUUUUAAUUUGCCAUGAAUGUCCAUAUGCCUAUUACAUUCAUUGUUUGGCUCAUAGGCUUCAACUUGCUUUAAUUGCGGUUUCUAAAGAAGUAACUUCUGUUCACCAAUUCUUCUCCAAUGUAGUUUGCAUUUUCAACAUUGUUACUGCAUCUAGCAAACGUAAUGAUGAAUUAAAGGAGGCUCAAGCAAUUGAAGUUGCUACUAAAAUUGUUAAUGGUGAACUUGAAACUGAGAGGGGGCUUCAUCAAAUUGGCACUUUAAAACGAGCUGGAGAUACUCGUUGGGAUUCUCAUUUGGAUUCUAUUUCUAGUUUACUGAAAAUGUUCAAUGCUACUUGUGUGGUUUUAAAUAACAUUGCAGUAGACGGAGGUUCAUACUUUCAACGUGGAGAUGCAAAUUUUGCUUUGAAUCAGUUGUUAUCCUUUAAGUUUGUUUUCACUUUGCAUCUUAUAAAAGACAUUAUGGAAAUUACUCAUCUUUUUUGUAUAGCAUUGCAACGUAAAUCUCAAGAUAUUUUGAAUGCAAUGCAUCUUGUCUCAAGCACAACAAAGCUACUGAAGAAUUUUUGAGAUUCAGAAUGGAAUGAUUUCUUGGUGAAAGUUAAAUUAUUUUGUGAGCAACACCCAAUUGAUAUCCCAUGUACGAAUGCUCAAUAUAUUGCAAGACGUGAUAGAUCUCGAAAUCAUCAUGAUGAGAUUAGUGUGGAGCAUUAUUAUCGAGUGAAUAUAUUUCUUGCAACAAUUGAUUAUCAAUUGCAAGAGUUACAUAGCAGGUUUAAUGAUCAUACCGUGGAAUUGCUUGUUUUGAGCAUUACUUUAGAUCUUAGAAAUGGAUUUAUGCUAUUCAAGAUUGAUGAUAUUUGUAAACUUGCAGAGAAGUUCUAUCCGAAUGAUUUUAUGGAGCAAGAACUAGUACGUCUAAAAAUAAAAUUUCAAUAUUUUGAGCUCGACAUUCCAAAUCAUUCUGAAUUGCAAGAAUUAUCUGGUAUUAAUGAGUUAUGUCAAGAUUUGGUGAAGACAAGAAAAUCAUUGAUAUAUCUUUUUAUUGAUAUAUUGAUUAGACUUGUUCUUACUUUUUCUGUAUCAACUGCAACUACAGAGCUGGCAUUUUCAAUUAUGAAAAUAAUCAAAACAAAACUCCAAAACAAGAUGGAAGAUAAUUUCUUGAAUGAUUUGUCUAACUGUGUAUAUAGAAAAGGAAGUUGCUGGAAAUUUUAGCAGUGUUUCAAUCAUAGAUGAAUUUAGUUCUAUGAAAGAGUAUAGAAUUCAAUUACUUCAAAAAAAGAUGUUGAAAUUUCAAAAUAUGUUAAUAUAACUUUUAUCUUUUUUCAAUUGAAAAUAGUUACAUUUAUAUAUAUAUAUAUAUAUAUAUAUAUAUAUAUAUAUAUAUAUAUAUAUAUAUAUAUAUAUAUAUAUAUAUUGCAUAGGUGACAUAUUGGAGAGCAUCUUCUCAUAAUGUGCAGGUUUGUGAUGUUAUAAGAUAUUUAAUCAAAGGUUAUCUUUUUUGUUAAUUUUUGUUAUGACUGUACCGUAUAUUUAUGAAUAGACAUACCUUUAUAAUUAAAUUUAAUAUUUGAUAUUUUUAGAUGUCAUAUAUUUAAAUAGAAGAAAAUUAUUUUGAACAUAAUAUAUUAAGAUAGUUUUAUUAGGAAAAAAUUUUGGCCCAAAAAAAAAAUUCUGACUCCAUCACUGAUUAUGCCCAUAUGAUCCGACGGUAGUUCUAUUUUCAUCGCCCGUUGGACUUCCCUCUUAAUUAGAUUAGAAAAGUAAGAUAUACAUAAAAAGCAACGAUUCACCCGAAAAAAAAAAAACAUCCUACUCAUCCAUGAUUCAUAUCCUUGCCUCCCUUUCCUUGUCCACUUCCCAUUCUGUGAAAAUUACUUAUUUAGUGCCGCCACCAACUUGUGCUGAGCUUACAAGCAAACUUUUGCAAUCCCAUUUUAGGCUCCAUAUCUUCUUCUAAUUAAUAUAUUAAUAUUGCUGCUUUUCCGCUCCAGGAAUAUAAUAUAGUAAUUAUAGUUUGAAGCAGUUUUACUUUUAAUUGAAUUACCGUCCGUUCCAUGACGGUGUCAUUUCUUCUUUUGUUUGGAAAUGGAUAAAGGUUGGAUGACAAAAUAAUAGUAGCACGAUACAAAACAAAACCCCAAAUUCAAAAGUCACAAUAAUAUCUUUUUGCUGCCGAGAUGAAGUCAUCGAAACUUGACUAAAUCGUCGCCUUUUCAAGCAGCAGUAGUGUCUUUUGCUUGCGUGAAUUUUGAUCUUUGUUGGAACAAGACUUAUCACCUUUUUUUUUUUUUUUUUUUUAUUUCUACUAAGAAAUCAGGAGGGUUAUCUUAUAAGAUAUGCUACUUUAAACAACAUUUGGUUAAAGCUCUGCGUAAUAAUGGAGUGCAUGUUUAUUGAACAUUGAUGUCGGUGACUUGGUUCACAUUGGUAGGUAAAUCCGUAUCUUUGUACAAAUAGUAUAGGUACAUUAUCCAAAUCCAAGUAUAAUGUUAAUUAUAUAGUCAGCUAGCUAACUUAAAAGAGUCUUAGACUUGCCAUUUUUGCUACAACCUGUUGUUACACCUACUUGGCAACAUAGAGUACAUAGGAUUUUUGUUACGAGUGUUUAAUACACAAUUAAACUAGAACUAACUUAACAAGUGAAUGGACCGACCACAUUUAAUGCAUCCUGUGUAUUCUAACACUUUUUAUAUCACGAGAUGUUCAUGGCAAACUGAAGCCAGUAGGAUGGAUCACUUGAUAUUUUUCCAACACAACUUUGUACAGCCACGUAGCCUCCUUGCGAUUAAUCUUUCUGCAUUGUUGUCUGUCUGAGUUUCAAAUUUGAGCUGAGCAGCCCCCGGCCAAGAUCGUCAUUGCAGAUAAGACUGCUGAAGGACUAGAUAUUCACAAAAACUGAUCAUGGUUUCCCGGCUUUGAAUACUAAAUCCUACAGCUCAGAACCAUUUAGAUCCGCAAGAGAUUGGCGGUCGGCUCGAGAUCGACAGAUUUACAAAAGCGAUUUAUACAGCUGAUCUUUUAAAUUUCACCAAUUGGCUCAUAAACAACCACAAGCAAAAUUGUAUACACUACACGAGCACUGUCAUUCUCCUGUGUACUCACUCUAUUUCCAGCAAAGGACUGGCCACUGACCACUUACCAAUGGCCUUAACACUUCCUAUCUGAAUCCCCCCCCCCCAAAAGAAAAGGCUUGUUGAAACUCGCAAUCCAAAAUUCGGAAGUUGGAGAAGAACCCGGAUCCCAAAAAACUUCACCAGCAACGCAAUAAAUCUACAGAAAGCUACUAAAACGAAGGAAUGUCGAACAGAACAUUCCGCACAGGUGUGUAUUUAGUAGGACAUUCGAACAGAACACCGAAUAAAGAAUUUAGUAGGAAACAGAAAGAUCUAUCAAAUUCAAUAUAUUAAACACUCUGAUGUUUCCAUGAGCAGAAAAAGAAACAUAAAUUUUUUACUCUGUACUGCUAGUAUUUCAUCUGCAGCUAAUAGCUGCGAUUUCUCUUACAGCAGGCAAGGCUUCAACAGGCUGGGAAGGAGGAAGCCUGGCGGAGAAAUUCCUCAACGGAUAUUCAUCGUCCUCGUCGAACCCAUCUGCGAAAUUCAGCGAAUAACUCAGCGGGUCGUAUCUGAACUCAGCAGACGGGUGUCUUUUAUGAUGCCUGUUGAUUCCAUUUCCAACGCGGCCGAAAACCAUCAUGCACUUGUCCUUUAUAUCGUCUUUCAAAUCAUGGGCCUUCCUUGUUUUCAGCCAGAGCAAAGUGGGCUUGUCAUCUGACGGCAGAGGAGGUGUUGGCGGUCCCGUUGGAGAGUCUAGAACCUGGCGAUGGCCGUGGUGGUGGCGGCGGAAGCAGCAGUAGAAGCAGAGCGAGUCUUUGAUCUUGGAUUUGAGUGAAUGUGGAGAGGCUGGGUUGAGAUCGUCAUCCAAUUCCAUUAGUCUAGAAUUUCUUUCCUUUAUUUUCUCUUCUAGUGUGUAGUGUGUCUAAAAAAUGCAGCUAGAGAGGUUGCGGUGGUGAUGCUGAUACAUAUACUGGGAGGGAGAGAUACGUGUAGUCUGGAGAGUGAGGAGGUGAAAAAGGACGAGGGGGGGUUAGCAUACCGCGGCGCUAAUUCAACCGAGUACAGAACGUGGGGAUGGAGGUGGAAAAGCGGUUUUAGUUAUAUCCGAAUGGGAUAAUAUCAUGUACCUCCCUUGAGGUUUCUCCUAAUAUCACCUAGCCCUCCUAACGUUUUAAAAAUAUAACUUACCUCCUCUAAUAAUUAUAAAAAAAAUUAUAUUAACCCUCACUUAAAACAUAAUUCACAUAUCAAAUGAAUGGAACUAAAAAUUUAAAAAAAAAGGAAACAAAAAUCACUUUCUUCACUUUCCCUUUUUUCCAAUAUUCUCUUUUACUCAUUUUUUGGAUGACCAUGCAAUUUUCUAUUUGUAAACUAUAAUAAAUUGAAAUUUGUUAUCUUUUACUCUUCAUAAUUGUGAUAGAGUGGGGUAUAAUUUAUUUGUUUAUUUUAAGUUAUUUUUUAUAAUGAUUAGUACAUUUUAAAAGUUUGGAUACGAGUUGAGAAGAAGUUGGGAAAAAAAAGAUAAAGUUCAUAAGAAAUCAGUUUUUAGCAUGUAGAAUUAAAUUAGUCAACUAUAUUUUUUUGUAAAUAUCUUUUUUAUUUUUCAAAUAUAUAUUUUUAUGGACUAUAGUAUUAUGAUGUGAUAGUACCACUAGGCAUUAUUUUUUAAAUGAUGGUUUUCUUGAAAUAAACAAAGUGAUAUAGGAGCAUUUUUUUUUUUUUUAGUAAGUAGAAGGAUAAUUUAGGGUUUUCAAAAAUUUUGUUACACAAAUAACAAAAGUAAGAGAGGUAAGUGAUAUUUUUAAAACCUUAGAGAUGUCAGGUAAUAUUAAGAAAAAUCUCAGGGGAGAUUUCUAUAUUAUCCCCAUCCGAACAGGAGGGGAUUUUUUUUUUUGAGAUCUUCUAGGGAUUCAUUAGUAGUUUUAACCUAGACUGAUUCUCAGUCAAAACAAAAUAAUAGUUGCAAGACAUUCCUGAUUCAAAAUUUUGAACGUUUCUAAUUUAACGAUGCUAGUUUUGUUUAAGAAAACAAAUCUCUUGUUACCUGUGGAAUCCAAGUAAUCACAUUCAACUAAUUGCAUGAUCCUUUCGAUUUUAAACAAAUACACCAAGUCGCAAAAAGAAAAAGGGUUAAUAAUACUUAGCCCCUUGAACAUUUAGGAUGAUCACAUUUUACUACUCUGAGUCUCGACUUUAAAAAUAUACAUUUUGCUCAUUUUACUAAAAAAUUAUUUUUUUCCCCACUUAUAAAGAUCACAUACUGAAAGUAUCAAGGCUUCAUUGACGAUUUUUCAUCUUUUCUUGUGCAUGCUUUGGGUUUAUUCAUUGAGAAUUAUCAUACGUUAAGCAAUCGUGUUUGAUUGGGUUUACGCCACAAAGUUCACGGUGCUUGCAAUUCAAGAGAAUGCAGCUUCUAUUAUAAUUUAUAUAAAAUGCUGUGUACUGCUUCUACUUCUCCAGCGUAGGGAAAAGUCCCGACCAAUUAUGCUUCCAUUUUGAAUCCUUACUAAUGCUAUAUAUUUUCUAUUCAAGAAGCAACGAAGCUGUAGUAGAUUUCCUCAAUUCAACGAUUUUGAUGCGUGAUACUAUCAGUAUAAUCAAUCGUUUCAAAAAAAACAAGGAACAAGAAAAUUCUGAUGCUGGAAGCAAACGGAUGGCAAUCGGCAGCGGGCUACUUGCCCUUUUGGGUUGACUAGCCAUAUCGAUGAUGGUCGUUUUUACUUGCACAAUACCAGAGUUGCUGCUCAAAUCGACAAUGCAGAGUCUCAUUAUUGUCUUUCGGCUCACAGCCCCAAAUUUGCAGCUUAAACGGGCCUCCGCCUCAGGUGGGAUGUAAAGGAUCGAAGAGUUUAGACCAAAACGACAGUUCGCCCAAUUUCGCAUAUCAAGAUUGAAUUCGUCAAGCAUCAAAAGUUCGGUACAGAAUCUUUUCACUAAAUGUGAGCAGCUUGAAAUUUUGAUGUGGAGUUUUUGCAUGCUAAUUCAUUCUUACAGUUUGUUUCCUGACAAACAAGUUGGGUUGAAUCGUAAGUACAAGAUUCUGGAUGCGAGAUUUAACUCGAAAGUUGGCCCGUUUGAAAACUCUGGACUUGGCCGGUAGCCGGUAGCCCACUAUGCGAUGGAUACUCCUAAUCUCCUAUGCUCGUAUAGAGCCCAAAUCUUUCGAUCCAUCAAUCAUUGGAUGCAAAUGCAACAAAAGGGAAUCUUGAUCUACAAAGUAAUAGUAGCAUCGCUAAAUCAUGAAAGAAAAAAGAAUUUGUAAGGGAACCUUGGCGCAAGGACAGAAUUCAUAGUGAUAUUCUUAGUUAGGACAUUUUGAUUUCCAAGUUUUCAUUUUGUGUACAAUUAUUGAAAGUAACAAAUAAAGCAUUAUUCCAUUCCAGUGAUAGGUGUCUGAUCACGUUUUUGGGCCGGGUUGGAGCGUCGGGUCCGGAUCGCAGGGAAUUAAUCGGAUCCCGUAAGAAUUGAUCCGAAUGUCCCUGUGUCGACAAAAAAAAAAAAAAAAAAAAAAAUCGCCAACACAAAACCUCCAUAAUCCCACAUGGAUUGGGGACUGACAUCAAUACCAAUGCUAUUCAUUAAUCCCACAAUAAUGGUUUCGUCGUUCGGGGUCGCGUCGUCUGCUAGAAUUUCUUUCCGUAGCUAUAUUAUUAUUCUGAAAACCAAUAUGUAUUUCUCCUUCUUUGUUUCUUCUCUCCAACACCGUGCAGCUUCUCGGUCGUUGCGCGUUUGUUUGUAAAGAGACAUGUUCCAAACCGGGGAGGGACUACGAGUUAGGAAAUAUCCAAUUCAACGUACGCAAUUAAUUAACUGUCUUAAUUUAAUGGUUUAUGCAUCUUCUGUGAAUGUGUGUUGUAGCUUCGACUUUAAUCCCAAAGUCUAAGCAUGGCUUCCACGUUCCACGAUUCAAGAUUCGCAGGUAAAGUUCAGAUGAAGCAAUUACUUUAGACUUGGGUCUGUCUAAUCCAAGAUGUAAUUAUAGUCUUUCUUUCUUUCUUUCUUUAUAUAUAUAUGUAUAUAUAUAUAUUCCAUCAAAUAACUAAUUCCUUGUUAAAAAAUUUCGAAACGGCUGUUAGAUUUUAGGAGUGCACCGUUGUUUUGUACAGGGUCAUGGUUCUCUUGCUUUUUCUUUUUCCCAGCUAAUUACGUAGCUAUCACCCAGUCGACCCCUGUUCCAGCCCUGGUGGUGUAGCCUCUAAUUAAGUAGUUAUCAGGGUAGCCGACUUGAUGGUGUAGUUAUCAGGGUAGCAUACUUGAUGGUGUAGCAUCUAAUUAGAGCAUCCACCAGAAUUCGAUCCUAUCACAAAAAUAGACAAAAACCCAAUAACCCAAAUAAGGGUUGAGCCUGAAGUGGGUCCAGAUCCUUUUUUUGAACUCAAAAAAAAAAUUAAGUAGCUAUCACAGUCAUCUGAAAUUGGCCUACUUAUAUUACUACUAGAUGUUAAUGUCAGGUUUGGUCAUAGUCAUUCAUGUGGCAUUUCCACGAAAUUAUCUGCAAGAAGAAGUUUGACCCACAAAAAAAAAAAAAAAAACUAGAAGCAAAUAUUUUACUAGGUCACCAGAACUCCACAAGACAACCUAACCUUCCAGCUACGGAAGCUGAACUCCACGACUCAUAGGAUCAGCUGAACUUAAAAAAAAAAAAUUUUUUUUUUAACCACAGAGGGAUGAGACUUGAUAACUGAAGAGAAGAGGGGGGAUAAGCCGAACUCUUAACUUUUGUGCAUGCUUCAAACUUCUCCACUAACUUUCCAACCCUUUCCACUAAACCACUUUUCAAUAUAUAUAUAUAUAUAUAUAUAUAUAUCAUGUUGGAAGUUAAAGCGAAUUGUUUUGAUUACGCAGCGACCUUUUCUUUAAUUUCUUUAUUCAUAAUUGCAGAUCCAGAAUCCAGGGUCGUGUUAGGUCCUUGAUUCUAUGAUUGAUUUAUCAAAUCUUCCGUAGACAGAUGUAUAGUGGGGUAUGCCUCGAAGUAUUACAUUACUAUUAUUAUUAUUAUUAAAGUAAAUCAUACAUAUAUACAUUAUUAGUUUUUUUUUUUGUCGCCACUUUAUUUAUAUUAUCCUAUUCUAUUCUAAUUUAAGGGAAUGUUCAAUUGAACCUACGAAAAAUCGAUGGGGAUUAAACCACUGUUAGAUCAGACAAGUGCACUACGCAUCCGUAUAAAUUUUUUUAUAGAAAUCACAUAUUAUGACAAUUGACAGAAAAUAAAAUUGAACCCUUGAUCUCCUAUCCGACCAAGUCUUAAGGACUUGGUGAUAGCCAUAGGUUGUUGGUUCAUGACAUGUGUAUGUAAUGGUGGCCAUCCGUAUCUAUACACUAUCAGUUUGAUUCAUUCAUGACAUGUAUAUUCAACUUUUACAUAAUUAUUAUUCAUUUAGAAAAUGAUAAUGGUUGGACUAACUUUUGAAGUUAUAACGCCUGUCCUGUCCUGUCCUCCUCAAUUCUUAAGAAGAGUCGUUACAAUAUUCAUUAUUAUUAAUCACACAAUGCACCGAUACUACAAGCCACGAACCUUGCACACCCAAUUCAGCUCCUUUGCUGUUGGCCCUGCCGAUACUUUUCCAAUUUCACUUCAUCAAUCAUGCCACUCACCUAAUUCCUUUCCUCCCUUCCACUUCCCCCACCUUGCACGCCCACAGUGUCUCUCCACUUUUAAUUCAACCUCUACCUCUACCUCUACCUUUUUUUUUUUUUUUUUUAUAACGAAACAUAUUUUAUUAACGGAUUGCCGAAAAUUAUUUCGCACGAUUGAUAUAUAUCGUUAUCCUAAAGGUAGAUAACAUAUGCACUAAAAUUAUAGAUUUGUAAUCUAAUGGACACAAAAGACUUGAGAAAUUAAGAAUAGAUUUAAAAAAAUAUCAUUAAUUUUAAAAUCAUCUCCUUAUAAAAUAAAUCGCUGCAACCCACUUUGUGCAUGUUACAAUCGUCAGAUUUGCUAAUUAAUAGUUGUAAAUUCCAAUAAAAAUAAUGAAAUCUGCCGACAUAAACCCAAAUCUGAAAUAAAUUUAGGUCUGACAACUAGAUCUGAAGUGAAUUCAAAUUUAAACAACAAAACAAGGAAAAAUAACACAAAACCUCACUAGGAACUAUUAGGAGAACAAAAAUUCUCACCAGAAGCCCUAAAAGAAACAGAGAUCUCCCACUAAGAAAAUUGAGGGAGACUUUAUUAGAAAAAUAACAAAAAUAAAAUAUAUGAGAGAGAGAGAUCAGGGAGACUAUGGUGGUCUCUCUCUUCUCUUGAAGAGGAAGAGGAAGAGGAAGGAAUUCAAAGAAAAGGAGUAGCAGAGAAAAGUUUGGAAAAGAGAGACAGUUGGGCUUUAUUAAGCCAUGAUUUCUGCCUCUGCCUUUAUUUCUCCUCUACUUCGUGACUUUGUCAUAUCAGUCUUGCAAUCUUUCUCUUCAUAUAUUCCCUUCAUCCUCCAGCCCCUAAUAUUAGCCACUGAUGGAAUCAAAGUAAACUGGAAUACCAACUUUUUUUUUUUAAGUGUACAAUUUUUUCAUCUGAAAAUUGAAAAAAAAAUUAACUAAGGAGGACCGCGAAAUUAACAGCUAUCUUUAUUUCUUUUCUCUUUUGUGAUAAAUUAUGCACUAUCGAAAGAGUGCUGGUGCUAUUCUCAGCAACCUUGGUGUAAGCCAAAUAUUACCAAACAUUUUCCUAAUAAUAUGCAUAUGGUUGGCAUAGUUUCUUUUUGCCAUUAUUUUCUUCAAUAGAAAAGAAGCGAUUUGUUUAUAUAUAUAUAUAUAUAUAUAUAAUGCGAUUCCGUUCCUCAUCUCUUUCUCCUCCUUUAAUUCUAUUACGAUUUCACAUGUUGAUGAGUUCGAUCGAACUGAAAAUCUUGCAGUCUUAAAUUUGUUACUAUGUGAUUUAUUAAUUACUAGGUGCGGUAUAACAUCCUAGUAGCUUCUCUGAAAAAAAACUACUAAUAGCUUGUUCCUGGUAUCCUCUAAAAUCAGCAGGCCGAACCGGAAAUUUCUCAUCUCCUUCCUGGCAUUUGCUCUGUAUCUUCGUGCUUUGAUUAAGUGCAUUAUUUAAUGGCGUAAACUCUUGACAUUGCAAGGAAGCUGAAAAUGGUAGGGUACGAAAGGAUAGUGACUUAUGGAAUCACCACCACCCUGUGGGGUCCGGGGUCCGUCCCCCAUUCCUGAUUUUGCCUCACAAUUAUUAUUGCCAUUUUUUGAAACUUCAUUAAGCAAUUUAUUAAUAAUUUAUCCCUAUUCCUGAUUGUCUAUUAAGUAAUUUAUUUACACGGGUGACAGUCCAAUGAUAUUUAUCUUUGAAUUGCUAUUUUUUGAAAUUUUUAUUCAAAGAAAGAAAAUAUAUAAUAAUAAUAAUUUGAUGUAUGUAAAUUGAAAAAGUGAUUGGCGGAGGGCGACGACGUAAUAGUUUUUCUUUCGGAAAAGGUAAAGCUUCAAUCUGAUUACCGAAAAAAAAAUGAAAAAUGAAAAACUUCAAUUUGAACGGGGCUUCAGAGGUCAUUUUAUCAGCUUAUGCACUCAUUCACAGAAACUUCCGCUUGACGGUCAUACUAUUCUCUCGUAUAAAUAGUAGUAUUAAGACUUGUGCCCGCUUUUCCAUACGGUUUUUUCUUCGGUGCCAUCUCAUCUUUGGAGACGUCAAACAAGUAUCCAGAUUCAAUCACUCAAAAGAAACUGCAAAAUCUUUGGUCAAGAUUAUUGAAGAUGGCUGGGAUGCUUCCUGGAGUAGAAGUUGCAAGGAGGAGGAGGUUUCAUCAAAGUGGAGGAUGGCUUGAUUCUUCCAGUGCUUCACCAUCUGGUCAUUGUUCAACUAGAAGGUCUUCUUUUUGUCUAUAUGUCAGCAACCAUGAAUCCCCUCUCAGCUCGAGCACAUCUAUUGUGGUUGGUACCUCCUAAAUUUUGGAUGUCUGGUUGUAUGAAUGCAUGAGUUCUUGAAUAUCAGAGCCAUAUAUAACUUCGUAAUACAUGAAAUUGCUUGCAGCCCAGGAGCUCAAUAAGCCAGGCAUACUGUGAUCAGAAGCUGAAUGAUGCAGCCAGAGAAGCCAAACAAAGGUUGGAUGGGAGGCUAAGAGCACAAUGGAAAUCAGAAACCAAAAGGUAUUUUUUUUUUUCCAAAUUCGGGAAAAGAAAUAAUCCCAGUCACACAUUCAUGUGCAAAAUGUAUUAGUACUAGCUCUUUUUUUGUGUGUGUGUGUGUGUGUGUGUGUGUGGAGGUUGGGGGUUGGGGGAUUUUCACCGGAAUAUUGUUUUCCCCUCGUUUCUUAAAUUUGUGAUCAUGUUCAGGGGUCAUAGCGGCCGACAAAGAUCAAGACAAUCGGAAAACAGGCCUACAGAGGUAAGAGAGUUGCAAACAGAGGUGUCGGGGGUAAAGAAAAGCGGAUCGAAGAGGUUCAGUUGGGUGAAGUUAAGUUGGAAGUCAUCUGAACAGGACGAAUGUGCUGUGUGUUUGGAGGAAUUCAGGGCAGAGGAGAAGCUAAUGCAGUUAGCCUGCGCCCACAGGUUCCAUUCAGGAUGUUUGGUGCCAUGGCUCGAGAACAAUGCCCACUGUCCUUGUUGCAGAACGGAAAUUGUCCUAUAACUAGUGGGAGGGUAGUCAGUCAAAAGGCAUGAACUACUAUCAUUAGUUUUAGCUUCUAGCAGCCCAACUUCUUGAUGAAAGUUUGAGGCUGAACAAUCACUACUGUAACCUACAUAGAUUCAUUCACUACUGUCGUGCAUCUGAACAAUACUAUCUCUUUUUUUGGUUCUGUAUCGUACAUCUGAACAAACAAUUUAAAGAUGCUCUUCCAUGUCCUGCAUAUACUAGGGAUGAUCAUUUGGGACUAUGCACCAGCACCCCCGCCCCCUCCCCUCUGUUUUUUAUCUUUUGAUUUUGAUUCAUCAGCGUCCGCCAAUCCUUAACCUCUUCAAUCUUGCUUCCCCUCCUUUUUUUUUUUUUUAUUGCCUUUCUUUCUUUCCCUUUAUUGUCAAAUCAAUGUCGCUUGCUUUCAGGAGUGAAAGAGUAAAUCAUAAAUGGGAAAACCAACCUUUCACCUCGGUAGGUUCACUUUCAGUGCAAGAGUCGAUCAUAAAUUUUGUCCCUAAAGCUGUUGAUGAAUUGAUGGGUAGCAGCUGAGGAUCGAAACAAGUGAAUUGAGUUGCUCCAUAGAUCACUGUCCGUGAUUGAUUUUGCGCUGUCAUGAUAGGAAAAUUGAAACAAUGUGCAUCAGUUCUUGUCUCUGAUGGGCCCAAAAUUCCUUGUACAUAUUUCCCCUGAAUGAAAGAUGACAUUCUAUCAUUGGUUUCUGUCGGUUCAUGAUGCGCUGUCUCCAAUUUCAGCUUCUAGUUUAACAAAAUAUGAAUCAAAUGUUUGGUGGGAAUAGUUAACAAUUGAAGUUUAAUCCUAGUUUCACUAUUUCGAGGAAAAUACAAGUUCUUAUCAUUAACCAAGCAAUUUGGUUCGCCAUUAUUUGUAUGAAUUGCUUUACAAAUUGCCAUUAGAACAGGAACAGGUCACCUACACCUACUAAGGAUAAACCAUCAUCUGUGGAUGGUGCUUUUACUUUUCUAUUCUCCUUGUGUCGUCUUGUAGUACUAGCUAAUUGCAGCCUUUCGAAAACCAAACUCCAAAAAAGAGUUAAUUUAUUGAUUCAAAAAAGAUUGUGCUACCUUAGAUAGUGGAUUCCAUCUCACCAUUUCCUAUAUGCAUAUCUUUUUUUUUUUUGUUUCCUGACGGAGUGGGUGUCCGAGUGAAUUCUUACGGAACCUGACUAAUCCCACUCCGACCAGGAAGGAGAGGCCCCAUCUCCCCGAACACGAUAAUUACAGGAUUCGGAUCCUUGCGGGCACUGGACACCAGCUCCUAAGGAGGCUUGUUGAGACCAACCGAAUUGUCCAUGAGGGGCAGACAAUUUGGUGGAAGGCAAGGGUUGAACCCCUGACCUCCUAUAUGCAUAUCUGAUGUUCAUUUUUUGCUUAAUCGCCCAGAAGUUUAAAAUAUAUAUAUAUAUAUAUAUAUAUAUAUAUAUAUCCACCCACCCGAUUGUUAUUAUAAUCGUGUUUAAAACUAGGAGGAAAAUUUGCUAUUGGCAAAUGCAUCUUCUUGAUGUUUGUAUUUGUUUGAUCUUUGAGUUCCAAGGAUAACUUUUUGGAUCCUUGAUUUUUUUUUUUGUUUUACCUUUCAUAUAUAAAAGUUUGAACGAAUCGAUCACUACUAUGAGUUAGCACGAGAUUAUUUUUAAGCUUUGUUAUGUAUGUGCUUAUUUUUUGCCUUUUCAGUUCAAGAGGGGCUUUGACUUUCACUGCCGCUCUGAUGAGUUAAGUCCAAGUUUAAUCGCCUUAAUGGGAAUGGACCUCUCAAGCUUGAGAGCCCAACUUCAUUAUUGGCCUUUCUGAAAUCAGGCCUCUUCGUACCCCAGUGAUCGAAAAUUUUCAGCGAGUCAACGAUGGUAUGCAGCCCAAUUGAUGAUGUAUAAAACAGAUGACCACUGACCUUCUGCGUCGUCGUUUCUCACUAAAUUAACGUUUAAAAUCCAACGGCUAGUUUAUAGAAUGACCGUUUAGAAACCAAUAAUUCAAAGCGCGACCUCCCCAUGAAAUUCACAAGAAAAAGCAUUUCUCUUCAGACAUUUGAAAAAAAUACGCCCCCACAAAUUAAAUCCCUAAAAAUUAUAAACAAAAUCCUCAGCUCAAGAACAAACAUUCAGCCAAAAAAUCCGUCACAAAUUUCUCUACAAAAUCUGCAACAGAUAAUCAUUCCAAAAUGGUUUACACAUACACUCCUACAUAUUACAGUUCACUCCAAGAUUCAAUAGCCUCUUUGUGCAAAAAUAUCCUUCCAUUUUCUUUCAAGAAAAGGCGGUUGCCUGCAAUCGCUGCAGCUGAGCAGAGGCUAUCAAAGCAGCAGGCUGACAACUUGAAAUGGCAGCAAGAUUCAUUCCACCAGAUACUCAAAUUAAUGGGCCUCUGCAAGGAAGGGAUUUUGCCCGAAACAGAGGUCUCUGCUUUUAGAUCACAUCUAUUAGAUACCCUUAUUGCUUCACCACUUGACCAUGAACAUUCUGCAAUUUUGAGGGAUAAAUUGCUCUUCUUGCAGGUCAGUUCUUAUUGCUGUUUUUCCCCUCUAAAUCUUGAUAGCUUGAUUGAAUUGCUACGCUUCUGGUUCUUCUUUUAAUGCCCAUUUAGAUUCAUAUGGUGAUACUUUUGAAUCGUUAGAAAGACAGGGAUGAUUGCUUUUCAAAAAUUGGAUAUCCAAAAACAAAUGAUGUGAAGCCUGACGAUUAGAAAAUGGAAAAUUAAUGCACAAUGUACCCCAAUAAAAAGUGUUCCUUUAUCUUUCUAGGAGCUACUGUAUGCAAAAUGCAUAUCCGAGGAUGAGUAUCAUUCGUCGAAGAGGCCUUUGUUACAGAGGUUAGCAGUUCAAGGAGCUGAAAUUGAGGCAAGAGAUGUAAUUGUUGGUGCUCAGAAAGAGAGUUCAGAUGAAGAGUGGUCUGUGAUAGAUUUGAAAGACGAGAAGUGUAUUGUUAGCAAAGAAGGCUCAAAUUUGAAGAAUAAACAAAAGCAAGGUUCAGCGAUGAAGCAAAUCAAAGGGGCUGUAUCUGUAAUGGGCUUUGGAUCGUCAAAUAAAGGUGCAACAACUAAGGAAGAUAAGGGUUUAACUGCUCCGGGUGCUGAAAACAGUAGACCAGCUGAUAGAAGGUAUGAAGUUGGACUUUCUACGGAGAAUCCUUUCUGGAAUAGUCAGUUCAGGGAGAAAGAAAGCGAAACAAAAUCUAUUCUCAUGUCAGAGAGUUUGCCAAAUGAAUCCGAAAAAGUUGAGAAGCAAAGUGGAGGUGACAAAGGGAAAAGAAAACCCUUCAGAACUCUGUUUCAGAGAGAGCAAAAAGAGGGACAUGUGAGCACUAACGGGGAUAACGGCUGUGGUUCUGAGGAAAAAACCAAAUCAGGAAAGAAGCAAUGGGGAUUUGAAGGAUUCAAGAAAUGGAAGAAAAAUGACUCUGAUGACGAAACAGCUCCAUUGGCACUAAAUGAGAAGUCAAAUUGUGGAAUUUAUAAUUCACAACUUGUCCAAAGCCCCGUUGGUGAGGGACCAGACACCAAGCAAAUUAAGAGGAAGCUGCACCCAGAUGGUGCACCUUCAGAUUUCUUUGUUGAUAAGGUGUAGUAUAUCGUGUCAUUCUUUUCUUGGCCAACGAACUAAGAAAGUCAAAAGGCUCUCUUUGGAGGUUUAUUGUUGAUGAUCUAAUUGCUUUUCUGGUUAUUUUAGGUUUUGGAAGAUAAUAUAAAAAAGAAGCUGUCGCAAAUUCGAUCAGAACUUGAUGCCAAAAAUCAUAAUGUUCAUCUGUCGUAAGCACUUCAUUCCUAGUCCUUGAUGAUGUUUAUGCAAUGCGCUUCUUCACCUUCAGUUAAUCGUAUUGUAUGGGAUGGCGUCUGAUAGAUUCUUUUAUGUGAUGAUCAGAGAUGACCAAAUUGAAGCAAUUUCUACUAGGCUUCCAGUUGACAAGGCUGAUCUAAAACAGUUCUUUCCCAAGUAAGACUCACCUUUUGCAUAGUUCUCUUCACACGGUGUUUUUUUUUCCUUUCACAUGAUGGAAGCUAUGACACUCAGAGAAAUGAAAUAACUUCCAGUAAAUUUGGAGGUAAAGAUAACUCUGUUUGCAACUUAGGUAAUUAUGCAAAUCGUUGUUCUCUUUUUUGGCUCUUUUAGGUCAUGGUGCGAUCAGUACGGCGAUGUCGUUUUGGAUGUGGUGAGGAAGGAAUUCAAGGACCAUGUUGGACAAGUGAGUGCUGGUAGGGAAAAGCAUAGCUCCAAGAGAUGGACAACAUUUGAUGAUGAUGAAAAUUGUCACCCCAAUCUCUUUGCUCCAGAGGAGAACUUCUUCCACAUGAAGCAAGACAAAUCCAAUGCUUUGAAGAAGGAUCAUCUGUAUGCUGCUGCUAACAGCAGUAUUGAGAAAGGCUUCAAAUAUAAUCCCUUCUUUGAUAUUUAGGCCUGCUUCAAAUUAAUAAAAGAGUUACAGUUUGUGAUCCUGUUGUGAUAAUCAACUAUGAAUAGAAUUCUUCAUUAAGAAACCUCAACUUGUUGAUUGAAUGUAGAACUGUCGGUAGUUCUGAAUCUGUAAUACAUGUGACGCAACCAGAUCUGUAUGAUGAAAGUCGAAAAUCGCAUCUACAGCAGUUGACGCUGUCUAUCACUGUCUUGGUAAACCCGCAGCCAUGAAUACAGAUAGAUAGCAAAUUUUAGUUCUUGAUAAGAGGGAGAAUUUUAGCUCUGUGUGCCGCAAGGACGGUCAUAACUUCUGGCAAAGUUUUCUAUAAUCUGUCGAUACCGAUUAGAGUUGAAUUCUGCUUGCUACAUUUAUUGAAAACACGCUUUGCUUCUCUUUGUAGUACGCGCGAACUAUUCAUGCCAGGCCCUUUCCUAAAAAGAGACAUCUAUUCCCUAUACUUGACAAAAAUUAACUCCUAAAGAAGACCUAGAAGGAUUUGUUUAUGAAUUUAACUGAAAUAUAUAAGAAAUUUGCCUUGAAUCAAAGCAAUGGUCCAAUAAAUUUUAAGUGAGGUACAUAUUUCUCGAAAGGCUACAUGCAACAACAGCUCAAGAACAAAAUUGGCUUAUGUACAUGUGUACAUAGAAAACCUCUCAAAAAGAAGGAACUCCAGAGGUUGAAAUGGCACCUCCUGUCAAGCUUAAACCCUCACGAACAUCUCGUCGACAGAGGGGGCAUACGCUGGAGUGUUAGAGUAGAAACAAUGCUGAGUAAACGCAAGUAAUACAGAGCUAAGUUGAAACAGAAAAAGAAAUGAAUGGAAGAUUUUGCAGGAAAGCUGAUGGUACGUACCCAUGUAUUUCUUUGAGCCAUUUAUCAACACAGGCCACAUGAUACUCAUGGUGGCAAGGGAGAAUUCUUAUUCUGUCCCCCUCUUCGUACUCUGCCAAGCAAAUAUAACACCUAGACAAAACAGGAUUGGGUAUCAGCAUGUAAAGUACCAGCUAAGAGGACAGCAUGGCCUACAUGGAACAAUUAAAAAAUCUGUAAACAUACAAUAAACUUUAUGCUAUGGUAUGUGUAGCCACUAACUGCAAUAGUUAACUAAAUAUCUAGGCAUUAACCACUUUCAGAAAACAGUUCUGUUUGCAGAAGCCCAAAGUGAAAGAUACAAAGAAGGCUAUGCUACAAAAAAUCCAUGUUAAUUUAUCCCGCUCUAGUUGGAAAUUAAGUAGCUUUUACUUCAGCAUACAAGGAAAGAGUUAUUUAGCAGGACAAAAUGCAAAGUUUCUGGUUUGAACAUCAUUUGCUCGGACUUUAGUGGGGGAAUUGCCAGAGAGAAGACAAGAUUUUCUACCUUCUCAAAACUUUCUUUAUGCAAUAAAGUUAUCCAUUACUGUCCUUCCAUAUUCCCAUCAGCAAACCUCUAGUGUGCAAACUCCAACAUCAAAGUAAACAUGCAUAAAAUAGUCAGGGAAACUUACUGUAUAACAUCAUCUCCACUUUCCAGUCUUUCUGGCUUCCUAUGAAUCUUCACAGGUAGAGAGUCAACAACUGUCUCUGGAGCUGGAACUGAGACCACAGACAAGGGUAGUGACAUGGGUUGUCUAUGUAUUUCAUCUAGUACCUGGAUAUUUCAAAAUAAAAUGACAAGUCAUUAGCAACUUCUAGGAGAUAGCCCUUCCCUUGCUAGGAAAAAAUUCUUAAAAAAAAUUCUAGGAGAUGGUAAGAUAUGAGCAUGUUGAACUAUAAAGAAAUAAAACAAAGUUAUUUCUGUGCCUGUGAUCAAUGAAACUUUUUCAAGUAAAGUCAUGGAAUAUCAGCAAAAUUUGUUUUAGAACUACACUAAGAAAAGCACUGAGUCUCCAUAAAACAUUUUUAAGAGCCCUCAAUUCUUGAAAGAGUACGUCCCAAUACUACAGCAAUACCUUGGUUAACUUGUUUCUUAUUCCAUAUUUAUCAGGUUGUUCUUGGCCUAAAAUUCAUUAACUUAACUACAGCCUACAGCCUAAGAUCUAAUUCUAUGACUUGGUACAUAUUUCACUCUCCAUGAGUCUGGUGCCAAGGUAAUGUCAGGAAAUAUACCAUCCUUCUGUUACAGCUAAAUCUUUUACAGCAUCCUAAUUGAAAUUUGUCAAUUCCAGUGACCUGCAGAGGUAUGGUAAUUCUUUAAAAGACAUAGCAUACUUUUCAAAAAACAAAAGGACCUAUUCAACUCCCAAAACAUGCAUUCAGCACAAUAAGCACAACCAAAAUUAGUGGCAAAUUAAUGGAAAGGAAUUUCAGGAACUUGACUUAAAUUCUUGACAGUUAACUUGGAUAACUCAAAAUCCGCCGCCCGGGGGGGGAACCAGCCCAAGAUGAAAGGGUAAAUUACCUCAAACAAUGCUUCAGCAAGCAUGACUAUUCGUGAAAUGCUUGCACGAGCACCAGACUCCUCAGCCCUUAACAUCAAACCACAUGAGCAUGCACCAUCAGGGUGAAUUCCAGCUGGACAGGUGGCUGCCCGUCGAUCAGUCCCACUUCGACCAACAUCGUGAAAUCGUUCCCAUAUCUGCUAGGGAAUAAUGGUGCUUGAUAAAGUAAGAUUUAACCAUGCAGAUGGGAUACCACUAGUAAAUUAACAGUGAAGUCAAGACAUGCAGUCAAAAUCUAACUUAGAUUCUAGAUCAGUUUUAACGCUGAGGAGGACUGGCACAUAGACUAAUGGAACCAAUAGGAUAGAGGCGCAAUCUACAUGAUAUGAUGGAAAACAUAGUGUCGUAACUACAAAACAAAUUAAUUGUAGCUAGAAGUAUUCUGAUAAAUGGAAGACCAGUAGUAUCUGAGCAAUUACCUCAGAACUGGAAUGCCACCGACGUUCAUUGGUAUUCUGGUCGCUACUUGGAUGUGGUCGUGAAUCACCUCCAAUCCCAUCCUCAAAGAAAUCGCCAUUAAAAUCAAGAAGCCAUCUGUCAUAAGAUUCAAGUCCAUCGGAGUCAUCUGCUGUAAAAAGAUGUGAUCUGGACUCUGCAUUCCUUCUAGAACUGCGUCUUGAGAAAGCAUCCCAGAAAAGUCUUCUGCUAUUAUGUCUUGCUUCAUGAUUGCUCAAUCCAGCAGAACUACUAGGUGACAUAUUGGAGGAGACACUCACCAUGUCAACUUGAAGUACAUUCCUGUCUGUAUGACCCUGAUCUCUCUCUGUCAACAGGAAUCCUAGACUCGAAGGAGUAAUCUGCUGAGAAAUAUCACCCACUGGAGAUUCAGAAAGAACAGAUGCUGAACCAGAAUCACAGUCGUGGAAAAGCAUCAGUUCAUUUGCACAAUUUUCAACUGAUACUUCAUCUGAUGAAGAUUCUCCAAGUCCAACAGAAGAUGGACAAUUAGAAAGCAUAAAGCCAGCACAACUAUGAGGCGCAUUCUCAUUCAUCACAUUGUUACCCCGGUUAAGAGCAUCUGCAUUCGCCCUGGCAUUUGCAGAUUCUGUUUCUGUAGAAGGUUCAUCUUCAUAGGAUGUACUAGCAUCAUAGCUUCUACAAGUAAGAAGUGAUUGAGAAUUAAACGCUAAUUCCUUAUUCUCAUACAACCUUUUCCCUUUAUCAAUUGCCUCAACAUUUCCAGGAGAAUCUUCUCUAGAAGAGCUAUUGCCAGGCAAUGUGCCUCUUUGAGAUCCAGCUCCAGUUUCAGUUGUAGGAAUUGGAAGUUCAGUACCACUGUGAAAAGAAGAACUCUUAGGUGGAAUUUGGAUCUUCUCCAGACCAUCGUCUUCAGCAGAAUUUACCAGUUUUUCAGCUGGAUCAUCUUCCAUCUACAGAAAACAAUGGCCAAUAAAAUAAACUUAAACUUCAAUACCUAACCUACCUAGCCCAUUUCAAAACUUUAUUCAAAAAAAUGCAAUCCAACAAAGCAUGGAAGUCUUUCUUUGCUCCAAACAAAAGAAAAAAAUAAUUCAGCACACUUAAAUGAUAUUGACGCAAAAAGGCCACAAGUUAACACACCAACCACACCGGCAAACAAACGUAAAACCAUGCUUUGACUGCAGUUGGUUAUAUCAGCUGUACUCGAGAGUUAAAUAAUCACAGUUGAUGAUAAUAUUGCUCUCCUUUUCCUGUUACAGAACUGCAUAUGAGAUUUACACCUCACAUGGCUCUUCCAGAAGACAAACACAUCAAAUCACUAAUUAAAAUAAUAUUUCCCCAAGAAAGGUUUGGCAGAAAGCCAGAAGAGCAGAGAGGGUUUCAAACAAACUUGCCCCAAUCCACACAAUACUUUUGCAUGCUCCAAUCUGGAAGGAAAGGCAGCACGUACAAGAAUUAUCUUCAAAUCAAGCAUACAGAUCUCAGAAGUUGCAAAUGAACCAGACAUUGCUAUCGUAUAUUAGUAUCUGCUCAUACACCUGAUAGAGUAAAUAAGAAGUAAAUAAAAUAAUAAUAAUAAAAAACCGAUUCCUCUUUCACACUCAGGUUUACUCAAAAUAGUAACAUUUCCUCUCCUCUUCCCUCAGUUUCACUGUUAUUUCAGUAUCAAGUUCUGAAUUCAAGCUCCCAUACUGAGAAGAAGCUCAAUUCACUACAACCUAACAACUUCACCAGAAAAAAAAAAUUACAAGCUCCUCAACAAACAACGUUUAGUUUCGCACGCCAAUCAUUUAAUUCCACGAACAGAAUAUGCAAAGAUAGCAUUGCAUUCCAAAUGUGCAAGUAAUAUAUCCAGCCAUUUCAAGUUUUCUACAAUAAAAAAAUGCCCAAACUCUUCUUUUGUUCCGAAAAUCAAUUUUUCUUUUUCACUAUAAUUUUCCGAUCAGAAUCUAAUAGACUCUUAGACCCAUAAAAUAAACGAAAAAGUAAUUCUUCCCCGCGCUCAUCAUCCUAAAUCAGCCGUCACCAACAACAUUUGUCACCACGCCCACCCGGAAAAGCUCUUUACCGUUGAAGAGGAACUCAACUAAGCAACCUAUGUAAUUUUUAUGGGCCUUAUUAAAAAUGCAUGAUUUUAUCAGCUAGAAUAUAAACCAAUCAAGAAAUGCACCACAUGCCAAUCACUUUCCAACGGUUUUAAGUUAAAAAUUAAAAUAACCAAAAAAAAUCCUGAAAUCCUGAAAUAUGAAGUACCAAAAUCCAUGUAUAAAAGAAAAUGAUUCAUAUAACAUAAAACCUGUGGAGACACCUCAUGAGGAUGGCGAGAGGAAGGCAAGGCACCACAAACGAAGAGAGAAGAGAGGACGCGUUUGAAGCUGGGACGACGACGACGACGAUGAUGAUGCUGAGGGAGCCGAGAAGGGGGUGGGCGAGAGCCCCCUAGACGGCUACCACUGGAACCCAUUUUUAUCGAUCAAAAUUGGUAAUCAAAUGAAAACUCUCUUCUCCCAUCAUGAAAUCCUGAGGGAAGAGAGGGACGAUGUGAAAUUAUUCUAACAUUUUUCAAUCUAAACUUUUCUUGUUUUCUGUAUUUUUCAGAUUCUUAGAGGGGACGGUGGUGAUAAAUGAAAUUGGAGGGCUACGUUUUUGGAGAGUCAGUGGCAAGGUGUACGGGUGAGAUGUCUCUUUUGCUUCAUUUUUAUUUUUUCCUGUUUUUCCAUUGUUUUGAAAACCAAUUGAAAAGUUCACUAAGUACGAUAAUAUAUAAUUUAAAAAUAUUUAUCUCUUUAUUUAAUUUAUAAUAUAAAAUAAAAUGAUUCAAUUUAAUAUUUUAUUUUUUAAAUCACAAAAGUUAUUUUUAAAUAUCAAAUUUGAGCUUUUAUGAAAAGUGUUUUUAACACAAAAAAAAAACCAUUCUUAAUUUUAUAAAAUAAUAUUUAUCAAAUGUAUUAAAAAUGCUUUUAACACCUAAAAAUGCUAUUUUUUUUUUUAAAAAAAAGUAGCACAAUCCCAAACGGACCUUAGUUGCGUGAUAACUGAACUAAAUAGUAAAUAGUUGGAAAAUGUGUUUGGUAGCGAUAUUUCUCCAUCUCGUUGCUUUCACAUGACUGCGGAAAGUGACCAAAUUUUAGGAUGAUACUUGAGAGUUAAUUGUCUUUCGAUAUAGACUUUCUAUCUAAGCUUUUAACCAGAUUUUAGUAGGUUAGGAUGGUCUUGUUGAUAGUUUAAAGGGAUUGUAUCAAAAUCUUACACAUGACAGAAUUGGAUAGAGUAAAUGCUAAUGGCAUUUAAAUUAUUUAUUAAUGAAACUUCGUUUGUUUUUUGCUUUUGCAUGUAAUUCUGCAUAAGAGUACAAACGAGAUGGAGUGCCAUUGACAAUCGUUGCAAUGCCAUUGUUAGAUUAUUUUUUCCCCCAUUUAUUUUGUUUUAUGAUGAAUUGUGAAUGAUUGAAUCAUAAUAUCGGGUUACAUGUAUACAAUAUAUUGUUAGCAGAUCUUUAGGAGUAAAGCACGGCCUAUGUUUUUGCUCCUGUAUUAUGUGACAACUUUCGAGGAUUUGAAAAAGAAUUGAAUUGGUUGAUACGAUGGGAGGGAUUAUAAUUUAUAGGGGUAAACCUUCCCUGAGAUUUUUGACAAUUGCAUACAACUCUCCUUACAUUUUAAAAAUUACACAUACUUUCUCUUGAACAUAGGCUUGGGUUUCACCUUAAUAAUGUAAGACCAAAAAAGUAUGUGAACGCCCAAAAUUGCCCUCAUCUAAUUUUCAAAAUAUGAAUAGUCAUUAAAAUUUUUUAAAAAUUAAGAAUACACUUGUGUACUACAAAAUUAUGAGUUUUAUUACUUAGUCAAUGUCCUGAUGUUUUCCAUCCCAUGGUUUUCUACAUCCACACAAAUUUUCAAACUCUUAUCACUUUUUCUUUUUCCGAACAAACUCUUUAUUUUAGAUGCCAAAAUUCACCAUCAUAAUUGUUACCUUUAUAAUCUUUAUAUUUUUAUAGCUUUCUUCCAUAUAUUGCCUACCAAACUGUCAGUUAUAAAACUCACAAUUGUCACCUUUUUCCCACUCAAACAGCCAAGCCUAGGGAUGGCAACGGGGCGGGGUUGGGGCGGGGGAUCCCUCCCCCACCCCCUGCCCCGUUGCCUAUUAGUUCCCUCCGUCCCCCGCCCCGCCCUGCCCUCGCCCUGCCUUGCCCCGCUUCCCCCGCGGGGGCACCCGCGGGGUUAAUAUAAUUUUAUUAUAUAAUUUUAUUAUAAUUAAAUUUUAAUAAAUAAUCAAGUACUAAAAUAUCAACACAUCACCAAAUUAUUUUUCAUUGUAAUUUUACAAUUAAAACUCAUAAAAACAAUCAAACAGAAGUUAUUUGAAUACAAUCCAAUAUGAUGAAAUAAAUAUAACUAAAAUAGUCAAGUUUUCACUUUUAGUACAAAUGCAAUCACUAAUUCAUUAUUGUGUUUGUGUUUUUUUUUGAGAAAAAAGUGUUAUUCUAUUAAGUGUAAUUAGAAAUUUAGUAUAAAUGUAUUAGUAAAUUAAGUAUAACUAAUUAAUAAAUUCUAUUAGUAGACAUGUAUAAUUAUUCAUAUAAUUGAUAAUAUCAAUUAUAUUACAUAAACUAAUAUACAUUAUAUAAUACAUCUAACUAAUAAUAUCAUUAUCAUAAGUUUAUAACUAAUUAACUUACAUAUUAUAUAUAAUUAUAUAUGUAAUUAUAUAUAUAUUUAUAUAUUUUUUUUGUUUUGCGGGUGGCGGGGCGGGGGAUGGGGCGGGGGUAUACUCCCCCGGCCCCCACCCCGUUUCUAAGCGGGGGGAAAAAAUUCCCCCCCACCCCCACCCCACCCCCCUCCCCAACCCCCGCCCUGAGAGCCCCCGCGGGGCGGGCACCCGCCCCAAUUGCCAUCCCUAGCCAAGCCUCUCUCAAUUACCAAUUUCUUCCUUUUUUGAGUGACAGAAGGUUAAAAUUUAAUGGUCAUGGGUGAAACAGUUUGGUUGGUCACAGUAUGUGGCUUGGUCAAGAAGAAUUGUUUUUUCUUUUGGUUAUCUUUUUGUCAAUGACUUGUCUUUGAAAAAAUUAUGAAAGUUAUUAUAGUUAUUGUCUAUCAUCAAGAGAGGUAAAUCUAAUAUUGAAAACCUCAAAGGAGCUCAAUGAAAUUGUUACAAAAUUCAGGGAAGGUUUCUGAAAUUAUCCCUAAUUUAUAGGUAGGAGGUUUUGGAUUUUAUUUAAAAAAAAAAACUUUGCAAGGAUUCCAAACUCAGUAGAGGGUUUAUAUUGUAUUGUUUGGAGCCACUUGAAGAUUCAAACCAACACCAUUCAGUGGACUGUGCAGAACACACACUGGUCCUGCACUCACCAUGCCACACUCGGGAUUUUGAAGAUUUAGCCCACAUUACAUUACAAUGGCCGUUGCGUGUGUGUUUAGAAUUGCUUUUCACUGAAUUGGACGGUUAAUAUCUAAGCCAUUUGCAUUCUCAGCAUCAAGGGAAGAUUGUUUUAUUGAACGUUCAACAUCGGAAUCUUGACUUGCAGAUAGUAGUAAUAAUUUUCCGUGAAUGUUGGUUAGAAACCUAACGCUCGUAGCCUGAGGUCUGACCGGCAGUUGCUGCGAGUAUCCAAUCUCAUCCCACGUAAAACAAUUCAAACACAAUUCUAGAUUUUCAGAAUUCGACCUAUAAAUAAUACCCUUGCUCGACGCUCGUUUCCUCAAAUUCCCUACCAAGCUACUACAACAUCUUACAUCUACCAUUCCGCUUGUCCUUCAUCAGUAGCCCAUCAGUAUGCGCGAUCCACCGCCGCCGCCACCGCCAAACACGCAUCCUCCUCCACACCACGAACCGACUCCUCCUCCUCCUCCUGGCCAUCACCAUCACCAUCACCAUCACCCCCCGCCCCCUCAUGAACCACCUCCGAAGCCACAUGCACCACCUCCACCCGGUCCUCCACACAACCAACCACCUCCACCCCAUCAUGGUGACGCUCCGCCUCCUGGACAUCAUCGCCGCUGAUGAUGCCAGCUAGCUACUUCUGUCUAGAACCUAAUGCGAACGUUUUACUACUUUUAGUACCAGGGACGGAGCCAGAAAUUUAUUUUUGGGGGGGCUGAAGUGUAUUAAAAAUUUUUUUGUGUGACGAAAUAAAUAUAUUUAAUAAGUAAAAUUUAGAAUCAAUAAUUAUAAAAAUAAUAAAAACAUAUAAUUAUACAUACCCAAAAUUUUGUUAUUGAUUAACACUUGAAGUAUUGGUAGUUGUUGCACUCGAAUAACGAAGAGGAGGCAAUUGCAUUCUGCGAGUCUUCAUCCGUUGAAAACGCUGCAAUAUUUGCUCAUUUUCAAUUGUUGCAAAAAUAUUCGCUUUUUUGUGAGUCAAAAUAUAUUUAGUCCUGCUAGUUUCAUUUUACCUUUACUCUUAACUGAGCUUAAAGUUGGAAAAGUCAAUUGCGGAAUGGAACCUUGGAGGUCCAUUUGCAAUACAAUUUUCUCUUUUCAAAAUUUUUAUAAAAGAAAUGCAGUUUUAAUGUAAAUCUGCUUUCUGAGAAACACUUUUUAAGCUGCUUUGAAAAAGCUAAAGCAUAUGAGAAACAGCUCCUUAGCCUUAGCCCAAUAAACAUGUAUUAGCAGAAAUGCUUUAGUAAUGCUCUCAGCUGGCACUCUCAUUCACUCUUGUAUGGGCUCCUGUUGUGCAGAAAAUAUAUAUUAAAUGGGAUUUAGAAUCAGACAGUUCCAGGAGGAUUUGGAUUGGGGUAUUAAUGUCAUCUUUAGAAUUAGAUACUUUAGCUAAAUUGCAUUAAUGUCCUUGAACUAAAACUAAUUUGCAAACAAAGGUCCUCCAAUGGACAGGUCGUACCCAUCCAUCAUCUACCAUCAACAACGGUCCAAAGAACAAAGUUAGUAAUCGAUGUAAAGAUCAUCUGACUCCAAAUAAACCCCCAAAGAAAGAUAUUUCCAUAAACCCCAAAGAAAGAUAUCAUCUGAUCGCAUAGAUAGUGGGCUGGGCUGGGCUGGCCGCCGGAAUCCCCUAUAUUAGGGGGUUUUCCGGCGGCUUGGGGGGGGGCUUAAGCCCCCACCAGCCCCCCCUUAAAUCCGUGGCUGUUUAGUACUACUGUUUAUGAUGUUUAAGGUUUGCAACUGCUCCACCAGGUGCUCCUUUGCCGCCUGGGCGUGAAGCAUCUACUUCUAUGUAAUAAUAUGUACUAUUUUUUGUUUUUUAGUACUAUUACAAUCUAUAUACGUAUAUAUUCUUAUUUUCGCGUAUUUCUUCCUUGCACGCUGAUGAUAUUGGAUGGAGAUUUCUUGUUUAAUUUGUUGUCGAAUAUUUUAAUACGUACGUGUCGAAUCCAAUACUGGUGAGAUUACUAUCAACUUCUUAAUUAACAAACAAACAAAAAAAAAAAAAAUCAUUGAGGCCAAGCAUUGAAUGGCAGUAGUGGUGCAUAAUGUACAUCCGGCUGGGGCAACCGGAGGAAGCAACAUUUAUUUAGUUCUUGCUUUUGCUACCAACACAGAACUCAUGUCAAACCUGGACGCAGGAAACAGUCCUUUUAACAACCAAAGCUAGAAAGUGCUUAGCUACCAAUCAACUUAAGAAAUCUUGGUUGUGUUUGGAUUGCAUUUUUCAUGAUUUUUUCUGGCAAAAUUAUUGUAGCGAUUUGAUGUAUGCGAGGGAAAAAAGUAAUAGGGAAAUGUGAUUACGAAAAACGAUAUAAUUUUUCGACGGAAACCGCAAUCCAAACAAGGCCGAGUUUCCUGUUCAUAUGUCUAGAUUUCAGCGUCAAGAAUCAAGAUUGUUGCUUCUUUGCUCAUCAUGAUCCAAACUCACAUGACGGAAAGUAUAGGAUGAUUUUGAACCAUCUCGUGCACAUUUUCAUAGCC